rnacentral:lncRNA from 1 species
ACCAACAAACAGUCGCAUAGCCUAUAUAAAAGAUCACUUAGCAGAGAGUGAACAAAAAUUCUUUCUGCUGAUUAGAAAAUUCAUUCUUCCAUUGAUUAUAAAACAGCUGCAACAAGUUUAGAAGGCCCAAAUCUAGUUCUCUCAUUCUCUUCGUGUGUGCGUGUGUGUGUGUGUGUGUUUUGUGUCCUCCAUGUGUGCUGGAUCAAAGAAGUGAAGUAUGCAUGUAUUGUAAAUACCUUGAUGUAAUUAUUCGAAUCGAGGGUAAAGCGAUGGUACAUUCCAGCUGGUAAAACAAUCAUUCCACCUUUCUUUACCCACACACGAAUCCAACCAUCAUUCUUGUCCCUAACAUCAAAAUAACCUAGACGACAAGACAAAGUUUAGAGAAUUCAAUGGAAAGCAGAAUAUAGAAAGCUGAGAGAAGAAAAUCAGGGACUUACCACUUCCAGCCACAGCGUAACGAAUCUCCUCAUCAGUGUGGAGAUGCUCCUCAAAGAAGUUCUUGAUCUUCUCUUCAUAAUUUGGCAGCUUCUCUGGGGAAACUUCGCAGAAAUCCUGGGCAAAAAUAAAAGAAGUUUCAUGUCAUCAAACUUAGCAAACAAGCUUGACAUUGCAAGUGUCCAGCAGAUUAAAAGGGACCAAGGUCCUCGGGGGGAUCAUCACAUUAGGCAGAAAAAAGACAUAAGUCUUUUCAAAACGUGUGAGCAUCAUUCCUUAACAAUGCAAGUACAUUAUCUGAUUAAUUUUCAAACUCGAUCAUGAUCCAGGUCUAGUUCCACAACAUGGACAAACACGAAUGUUAAUAUUAUCCUGAAGCAACUACAAACUACCAAGACCAGUGAAAAUGCGUUAUAAUAUUAUGAAGUUACAUACCAUGUACGAGUAUCCACGUUCCUCACGGAUUUUCUUCAAUUCCUCAUCAGUUUCAUAGUUGUCAGCAUCCAAUCGCCAGCUGAGAACACCAAGUUCUGCAAGAACAUGAUAGCUCCUAAUGAAUUGGAAAACGGAAUUAUUUUAUUGUAUCUUAAAAGAGUGCUUCCUCAGAAUGCAUACCUUCAAGCUGCUUCAAGGAAAUAAAUUCCUUAGGUUCACGGUGAUGUGGAAGUCUUUGGUCUUCAUUGCUGUCAUCCAUAUACCAUGCUUGAAGGACUUCCUCUCUCGGAUCCUACCCAGCCCAAAGUUUGAAAGCAUCACCCCAAAUGCAGGACAGGCAUUGAAGGAUCCACAGUAUAUCACAAGAUUCACGACAUAAAUUUAACCACCCUCUUCCAUGCUCAAGGAAGGAUGAGAAUGCUUCUAUCCAAAAAUUGUUUUCUUACCUAGGUUUUAUGGGUGGAAAAGACUUUUAUAGUUUCCUAGUUCUCAUGCUUAGAUCAUGACCACUGAUACAGAAUCAUCAUUUAAAUAAUGCUGGGCUAUCAAAACAAUUUAUUAGAUACUCUAAAUUAACCGAAAUACAAGCUAAUCAAUACCAAGUAUAGCGAAUUGAUCUUCAGAAUACGCAAACCAGUGCAUGCCCUUAGGUGCAGAUGCAUACGUGACACAGACAAUCAACAUGCCGUGAAAACCCAAGAACAAGUUCACAAAGUGAAACAAAUACAUCUUUAAGAACAAUAAAGAGAAAGAAGUACCCUAUAUUCUACAUUGACUAUAAGGACCUAAAACAGAUACAUCUUUAAAAUUAUGUAAGACAAACAAGUAUCCUAUAUUCUGCAUUGACUAUAAGGACCUCAAAGUGGACUGCAAUAUAAUAAUUCUCUCCUAGUACAAUUAUGCCUCUGUCCACAGUACAAGCUCUAACUUUGGCACCAUAUAAAGAGGCAAUGACAUCCGCCAGAAAAGUGGCAAUCAGAUCUUAAGUCAACUAGACCUCCACACCUUCUUUCUACCACAUUAAUGGUUUCUUUUUUACUCAACUUGCUACAUUAUCUAAGGUAAUGGCUGCACUUUUUCCAGCCCGUUACCAAGACUCAACCUUCAUGUCCCUUGAAGAGGACAGCUUCUCGCUAACCCACUCGACAUCCUCAACAAACACUUGUUUCAAAAGUUUUAAGUUGUCAGAGCAUGUGCAAAACAAUCCAUCCCAACAAUUUUUGCCUGUGGAUCUCAUUACCCAUCCAAUACACCAUGGCCAUAGGGUGGCGUGACAUCCACGUGAAUCCAAGAUGGAAGGACAUCAAGCCAAACUAGUUCAAUUAGGAGCAAGUAAGCCCUCAAGCCGGCCCCUUCAUAUAAUCCAUACUGGAAACUUUUCUUCUUUCAAGACUUCUCUUCAGGAUGCUGCUCAAUUCUUCCUUCGCACCUCCCACAGAGAUCAUAUCCGUUCAAGGGUUCAAGUCCCCCGUUCCAAGAAUCCCAAAACCACGGCAAACAAAUCCUAACUAGGCUAAAAAAAUCAUGGGUUUCCACCGUAACAACAGCUUACCCAAAACCCAGAAGCCUAGCAGCAUCGACAAACGCAAAAAACAGAGUCACCUCUGAAAAACCCCCCAAUAAAACAAAACUGGGCUACCUAAUAUCGCACGAAUUCAGACCUUCCCUCCUCUCCUGACCGAUAGAGGCCUAAAGAAAAGCAAUCCAUAAGACAAGAACGCAGAGUGGAAGCCAAUUACCUUGUCGGGGAGGACCAUUUUCGUCGAUAUCGCAGGCGGGGCAAUCGGUAGCUUUCCAGGCGACAAGAAAAAGCGAGGAGCGGAAGAGCAAGUUGCGCGUUUUAUAAUGCCAAAAAAGAUUCUUAAAACUCUUUUUUUAGGUAAUAAAAUUAAGAGGGUCAAACGGUGGAAAGGGAGAGAAUAUCUGACCUGGGAUUUUUUUUGUCCCUGGUAGAAAACUCCAGAGAAAAACAAUGCUUUUUGUGUCCAGAUUCAUUGAACGGUAGAGGAGCGAUGGCGGGUCAGCUCACGGCAUGCCGAUUUUCAGGACAAAGUUCACACCAGACAGGGAUGACAACGUGAUUUGGGUGACAAACAUGAGUUUUUUGUACAGGCUCAUGCGACCUUUCGAGCGAUGGCGAGGCCAGCCCACGGAUUGCCGGCCAGGUAGUAGAGUUUAUCGAGUUACUAUUCCUGCUAUUUCGAUUUCUUAGUUGACGGAUUCAGCAAAAUUUAAAUUGGAAAACGCAAAAAGGUUAAAGCUUGCAAAUCUCAUCUAUCUAAAAAAAAUUGAGAACGACAUUUAGAUUGUUAUAAGUAUGAUUAUUUAUAGAUAAAUUACGACGGUACCUAUAGAUAUUCUUAUCAAACCACUUGUUCUUAAAAUAGCGAGAAUAUAAAACUAGUAUAACUCUAAAUGAGGUUUGUACUUCUUUUGUUAGAGAGAUUAGAAAGUUUUGAAAAAAUAAAUAUUUAAGUGGAACUAUUGUAACAUUUAUAAAGAUAAAAAAAAUUAACAAAAGGGUAAAAAUAAAUGAAGUUUUAUUUAUUUAUUUAGGAAAUGGAUUGAAAUUAAGGGAUAUUCUAAAAUAUGGGGAUGGUGUGAUUAUGAAAACUUCUAAAUAGUACCAAGUGAAGAAUGACUAGUUUAAUUUUGUUAUUCAAAGUUGAGUCCAUAGAUCACAUUCAACGGCAUUGAACAUAUUUUCAUAUAGUCCAAGAGGUAAAGUGAACAUAUACCACAUUAAACAAUUUAAAAGUUUAGGAACAACAUUGUCUGAACAUUAAAAGUUUAAAAACUAUGUUGGACAUUGUGUCAUUUUUCUAUUAUUAAAUACUCAAAGCUUAACGUACAGACGACGAUUCUGAUUCCUCGAAAAGCUACUUGCAUGUCAUAGCCAUUUGCCUUUUUCAUGCCCCCAUUUAAAAAAGAAAAAGAAAAAAUAGUUGCGUAUCCUAAUUGCUAAUUUCUUUGUAAGACCUACCUUAUUCUUAAAUGAUUAUCGAUUUUUCGCCUUGGGUUUUUUCAGUUAAAAGAAACUCUUCUUUCCGUUUCUUAAUUUCUCCUAUUUUUAUCACUUUUUUUUUUGGCUCAACCUCGACUAGGGAAAGCUCAGUUGAGCGAGGUAUAUUUUGUUCUAGCAAGCCACCCAUGCCAUGGCGGCUCGUGAAUCUGAGGCCCACUCUUUUUUUUUCCAAUGAUAAUCGAUCGCAUUAGUCAUGUUGUGCGACCGCCCGACAUAGAUCGGGCCCCCCCGCGCAUCUAGUGAAUGUAGAGGACGGUAAGUAGAUUGGGUUAUGCUCAUUAAUACGCCUCCGACAGACCUACAUCCUCGUACAUUAGAAGUGUCGCUAGCAGGUGUUGACCGUCAGACUUAGCAAACGAGCUUGACAUUGGAAGUGUAGAGCAGCUUAAGAGGGACCAACGUCGUCAGUGGGAUUAUUAGGCAGAAAAUAGACAUCAGUCAUUUUAGGACAUGUAAACAAUGCAAGUGCAUUGUCUGAUUAAUUUUCAAACAAGAUCAUUCACCAAAGGAUAAGUUAAACAAGCAAUGGAACAUAUGAUCAUGACCCAGGUCUAGUUCCACAACAUGGGCAAACACGAAAAGAAUGUGUAUAUAUAUGUUUGUAUGUAUAUUAUCCUGGAGCAAGCUGAUGAUUAUGCGGCAUAAUAUUCUGAAUUGAAUUAGAUGAAUCGCCACAUACCAUAUAGGAGAAUCCACCCUCCACACAGAUUUUCUUCAAUUCUUCAUCAUCUAUUUCAUAGUUGUCAGAAUCCCAUAGAAAACUGAAGUAGCGAAAUUCUGCAAGAACAUGAUAGCCCCUAAUGAAUUGGGAAAACAGAAUUAUUUCAUUGUGUCUCACAAUAGUGCUUCCUCAGAAUGCAUACCUUCAAGCUGCUGCUCCAACUCCAAGGAAACAAAUUCCUCAGAUUCACGGUGAUGCGGAAGUCUUUGGUCUUCAUUGCCGUCAUCCAUAUAACAUGCUUGAAUGAAUUCCUCUCCAGGAUCCUAACCAGCACAAAGUUUGAAAGCAUUACCCCAAAUGCAGAAGAGGCAUUAAAGGACCCACGAUAUAUCACAAGAUUCACGACACAAAUUUGACCACCCUCCUCCAUCCUCAAGGAACGACGCUAACGGUUCUAUCCGAAAAUUGUUUUCCUGCCUAAAUUUUAUUGGUGGAUAAGGCUUUUAUAGUUUCCUUGUUCUCAUGCUUAGAUCGUGACCACUAAUACAGAAUCCAUCGUCAAAAUAACCCAUGGCUACCAAACCAAUUUAUCAGAUACUCUAAGGGGCUGCAUGUUUUUAUUUCUUUUUUCUGUUCAAGAACAAAAAUUUUGUUUUUUUUUCCCGGGAAUAAAAAAAGAACAGAAACGCGUUUGUUUGCAUUUUUGUUCAAAAUCAGUUUUUUUGUUCCCGAAACACAAAAAUAACAGAAAUGAGAAACAAAAAAAAAUUUGUUUCUUGCUCCAAAAACACUUCUCCAUAAACACUUUUUUCUUCUUUUCUUCUCUCUCCUCUUUUCUUCUUCUUUUCUUCUUUGGCCGGUCGCCGGCCUCAGCCAUGGCCGGCGACCGGCCGUCGAGGGUCAGUGACCUCGCCGGAUCGUCGCCGGCCCCCAGCGAGGCCGAGUGUCACCGACGCGAGCAAGGCUGCCGACCGAAAGAAGAAAAAAUAAAAAAGAAAUGAAAAAAGGAAAAAUAAAAUAAAAAUAUUUAAAAAGUAAAAGAAACAAAAAAAGAAUAUAAAUUUACCGAACGGGUUUCUAUUCAUUUUUUAUUCCCGGAACAAGUUUACCAAACGCAUCUUUCUGGUCAAAAACUGUUUCUCGGAACAGAAACGCUUUUUUUUAUUUCUGUUCCCUAGAACAAUUUUUGAACAGAAGUAUUACCAUUCGCGCCCUAAAUUAACUGAAAUACAUGCAAAUGAAUACCAUGUAUAGUGAAUUGAUCUUCAUAAUACGCAAACCGGUGCACGCUGUACUGUUGAAGAUUACAUUUACACCAACGGCGGACGUAAAGCUCGGUGGUUUGCCUCCUUCUGUUUACAAGCUUUGAACAUCUCUUCUGUUUCAAUCACGACUAGCCUCUUUACCUAAUCAUGUAAUAGAUUCUUCAAGUAAGCAAAUAACAUUGAUAAACAAAACUAAAAUGCAGUAACUGACUAAUCAUUACUUGUUGCAACAUUCCCCUAACGGUAGGGGUGUUCCACCUCAUAACAGUUCGGUUGCACUUGCCAAGCCGCAGCGCCUCCGAUGUAUGCCGGUGAAGUCUUCUUGUUCCAGGAAUGGCUCUAACCAAGGUUAUGUAUAAGUUGGGGCUGCAUGCAAUCGGCACGCAAGCCUUGUAAGCUUUGAAGGAAUUCAUGCUUUUCCUUUUCUCAGCAACAUUGAAGGGGACAUCAAAAUUAGUUUUUUCCAUGACAAACCCCAGACAACUAUGUUUGGACUACUAGAAUGAACACACAGCACACCCGCACAUACAAAAUAAACGAAGGGCGUGCAUGGUUGUGUUCUUUUUUUCUUUUUUUUUUCUGUUUAUGAACAAAUAUUAUGUUUUUUUGUUCCCAAAACAAAAAAAUAACAGAAACGCGUUUGUUUGCGUUUUUAUUCAAAAUCUGUUUUUUUGCUCCCGGAACAAAAUUGGAACAGAAAUUAAAAAAAAAAAAAGUUAUUUUUUUGUUCCAGAAACACUUUUGAAGAACAAGUUUUAUCUCUCCUUUCUUUUCUUCUCUUUUUUUUCUUCUUCUUUUCUUCUUCUUUUUUCUUUGGCCGGUCGCCGGCGACCUCGCCGAAGCAUCACCGGCCCUCGGCGAGGCCGAGCGUCACCGGCUCCUGGUGAGGCUCGGCCUCGCCUUGGCUGGGCGAGCUGAGGCCGACAAGCCUUGCUGUGGCUAGGUGAGGCUGCCAGCCCCCGUCGGCCGGUCGCCGGCCUCAGCAUGGAUAGUGACCGGCCAAAAGAAGAAAAAAAUAAAAAAUAAAAAAGAAAGAAAAAAAAUGAAAAAUAAAAUAAAAAUAUUAAAAAAUUAAAAGAACAUAAAUUUACCAAACGUGUUUCGGUUCUUUUUUUAUUCCCGGAACAAGUUUACCAAACGCAUUUUUCUUGUCAAAAAUUGUUCUCCGGAACAGAAAUAAUUUUUUCUAUUUCUGUUCCCUAAAAUAAUUUUUGCACAGAAACACAAACAAACGCAUCCAAAGAUGCUGCCAAAGAAAAGCAAAAUACUAUUACACAACUGGGCAAAUAAGAAAUAUCUCACCAAUCACUUACUCCUUGAUUUUUCACAAUGAUCAAUUAUAGAACAGAACUAAUAUACAUGAAUAAAAAAAAAAACUAGCAAAGUUUCAGAAGGAACCAGUUAGAUUUAUUUGCAAGAGACUAUGAGAAGCGACACCGUAAAACAUUUUUUAAUUAACAAUACAUUACUAGGCAAGGUCACAUUUAGACGGCAAUCUUUAAUCUAGUGAUUCAACCAUUUUAGAGUAACUUGAGAUGCUGCUUGAUCAGCUCGGUGAUUGAAUAUUCAAUGUCUCAUUCUAGCUUGGCAAAGAUUAAAGCAGGCAUAUGGAGCAAGAAGCCCAAAUGCUUUGCGUCUCUUCCUAUUUGAGAUGUGGGAUAAGAUAUACUCUCAAACAUUGUAUUAUGUUUGCUCAUUGUCCUUUUCUUGUUUCCGUCUCUCCUCAAGGAAAAAGUGCGAAUUUCCGGACACAAAACAACUAGAGUUAGUAAAAGUUCAAGCUCCUAUCUGAAAACCAUUCCACUUUUUUGUACGACUAGAAUCUUCCCUUCAAUGAGCUUUAAGGGGGAAAAUUGAAAGGAAAUAGAGACAAGGUUGAUCAGAAAAAUGUAGCAAGAGUAGCAAGCCCACGAUACUGGUUCCGGCCAUGGGAAAGCUACGCAAAAUCAUCCAUGAUGUUCGAAACGGAACCUUCAAACUGCGCCAUCACAAACCUAAGAACCCGAGGCUCUACAUUCCUCCUUUCUCCCCCCUCAAUUGGGCAGAAACACAACACCAAGGCUCUCAUAGGAAUAUGGUCGAACACCUUGCGGGCACGGGGAGCUCAACACAAAACAUUCACCACCGACCCUCAUCCCCCCAACUGGAAUUGCACAAGAACUACAUCCUAAGGCUCCGUUCGUUUCGCAGAAAAUAAUUUCUAGGAAAAUGUUUUCUGAACCUCCGAUGUUCGUUUCAUGGAAAAUAAAUUUCUUAGGAAAAUAUUUUUCAUGAAAGGAAAAAAGUCUUCUAAAUUAAAAUAUUCUAAAUUAAGAGAAAAUGUAUUCCACUUUUGAAGAGUGGAAAACAUUUUCCUCACUCGAUCUCUCUUAUCUCACACCUCUACAAAUCCUCACUUCUUCCUCCUCUUUCCUUUUCUUUUUUUCUUUUUUUGUUUGAAUUAUUUUUUAAAUUUAUUUUUCUUUUUUAAUUCAAAUUAUUUUUAAUUUCAUUUUUUUCUAUUUCAUUUUUUUUUUCUUUUCUUUGUUUCCCAUCUUCUUCUUUCUUAGCUAUUCAUCGGUCGUUGCCAAGAGAACCUCAAGCUCGUCAAUCUCAAGCCCGUGCUCUGCACUCUUGCUUAUCAUUUUUUUUAGGGAAAAAGCUACGAAAAAUCCUGAACUUUGCCCAAUAUGACACAUUUACCCCAAAAAUUUUUUUGUGAUGUGAAAAACCCCACACUUUUCAAAUUGUGACACAUUUACCCCAUUAAGGGCAUUUUUGUCUUUUUUUUUCUUUUUUUCUUCUUUUUCCCUCCGCCAGCCAUGGCGAAGGGAAGCCGGCAUCCAACAAGGGCCUCCCUCGCCAGACUAGCGAGGGCGGCCCUCGCCCGCGACUGGCGAGGACAACCCUCGCCGGAUCUGGCGAGGGGCCGGCGUCAAGCGAGGGCAUCUGGUGAGGACGGCGAGGGGUGCCCUCGCCGGCAUCGAGCGAGGGUCAUCCUCGCCAAACGCAGGUGAGGGUGUCCCUGCCCUCGCUAGAUCUGGUGAGGGCUGUCCUCACCCGUCGCCGGCGAGGGCAGCCCUCGCCGAACGCCGGCUUCCCUCCGCCGGCCGAUGGAGGGAAGAGAGAAGAAAAGAAAAUUAAAAAUUUAAAAAAAUGAAAAGACCAAAAUGCCCUAUAAUUUUGGGGUAAAUGUGUCACAUAACAAAAGUUCAAGAUUUUUUGUGUCACAAUUUUUUUUUUGGGUAAAUGUGUCACGAUUGACAAAAUUUAGGGUUUUUCACGUCAUAAAAAAAGUUUGGAGUAAAUGUGUCACUUUGGGCAAAAUUCAAGGUUUUUCAUGGCUUUUUUCCUUUUCUUUAUUUAUUCUACUAUGCAGUAGAGCUCUAUAUGCUUUGCUUAUUUUUUCUUUUGUUUAUUAGAACACAAAAGACACAGGGGAGAACAUGUCACUCAAUUGGAAGAUUCUCAUGAAAGCUGUACAUGCUUUACUUCUUUUCUCUUUUGCUUCUUUUUAAAAUCCAUACGAACAUUUUUUAAAAUAGAUAAGCAUUUUGCGACAAUAAGGGAAUAAAGAUAUGAAGUAAGUUUGACUGAAUUUAAAGACAAGUUUAUUUUUGAUGGAUUUAUAGAUUGGUAAGUAAUGUAUGCCUAAGUGAUGAAGUCUUAGAAAAUAUUUUCUUUACUGAAUAUCGGAAAAUAUUUUCCGAAACUUUUUCAAGUUUUAGCCGAACAUCAUAAAAUAUUGUCAUUUUCUUGAAAAAUAACUUCUGAGAAAAUAUUUUUUGGAAAUGAUCCAUUUUCCACAAAACGAACGGACCCUAAAAGAACGAAACAAAAUAGCCAACGCGUUGAAAUUUGACAUUCAUUGACUCAUCCACAGACUGGCUCUUCUUGUUAUAGACUCUGUAGGCUUUGCUUGAUGUAGAAUAUCCAAGGAAGAUGCAUUUAUCUGAUCUUUCUUCAAACUUACCAACUCGAUCUUUUGCAUUUUUCAAUAUAAAGCAUUUGCAACCGAAUACAUGAAAGUAUGAAACAAUAGGCUUCUUAUAUUUGAAUAGCUCAUAAGGGGUUUUCUUUAGAAUAGGUCUUAAGAAGACUCUAUUGAUGAUAUAGCAUGCUGUUAAAACAGCUUCAGCCCAAAAUCGUGAAGAAAUCUUACUUUCAAUUAAAAGAGUUCUAGCCAUUUCUUGAAGAGAUCUAUUCUUUCUUUCCACAACUCCAUUUUGCUGAGGAGUAUAUGGAGAGGAGAACACAUGCUUAAAGCUAGAUUCAUUACAAAAUUUUGUAAAAUCUUGAUUUUCAAAUUCACCUCCAUGAUCUGUUCUUAUACUUGAGAUAACACAUCCUUUUUCAUUUUGAACAUUUUUAGCAAAUUUUUCAAAAUACGAUAAGGUUUCGGACUUACUUGCAAGGAAAUAUACCCAAGUAAAGCGGGAGUAAUCGUCCACAAUUACUAGGCAAUAUUUCUUACUUCCAAUGCUCUGGGUUCUAGUUGGUCUGAAGAUAUCCAUAUGCAGCAACUGUAGUACAUGAUUAGUAGAUACAUGAUUUAUUGGCUUGAAUGAAUUUCUUACUUGCUUUCCCAGAAUACAUGGAGUGCAUGGAUCAAUCUUUUGGUAUGGUAAUUUGGGUAGACCUCGAACAAGCUGCUUUGAUGAGAUUUUGGCUAAUUGCUUCAUAUUGACAUGACCAAGCUUUCUGUGCCAUAAGCUUGCUUCGUCUUGAAUUGAGAUUAGGCAUUGCGAUUCAUUUGGUUUCACAUCCAGAAGAUAGAUAUUUCCAUGUCUUCGACCCAUGAAAGACUGAAUAGAGUCUUUACUAAUUCCAGAACAUGUUCCUUCUUGAAAGAAGAUCUUAAAACCAGUAUCACACAAUUGGCUAAUGCUGAGAAGAUUGUAAUUGAGUCAUUCUACUAGGGAAACAUUACUUAUUGUGAGAUUUUCAAUUUUCACAGUUCCAAAUCCCACAAUACUUCAUUUGCUGUUUCCUCCAAAUGAAACUUUUCCACCAUUUACUUGAACAAGCUUUAUGAAGCAAUUUGAGUUUCCUGUCACGUGUCUUGUGCAUCCACUGUCAAGAUACCACUUUACAUUUUUCUUGACGGAGACCUGCAUUUAAAAUAGAGUCUCAAGCUUUCUUUGGUACCCAAAUUUUCUUGGGUCCUUUGGUGUUAGUAAGAUAAGCAGUAUUAGUCCAUACUUUCUUAACAGGUUUCCAAACCAUAGGACACUCUUUUUCAAAGUGAUCUGGACUGUUGCACUUUGAACACCUGAGGGCAUUCCGACCUACAGACUUUAUAAAAACUUUCUUGAAAUGAUUUUUGUAAGCCUCUCUCGAGGGUCUUUUCUUAAUUCUUUCUUUUACUUUAGGAAAAUCAAUCAAGGGAAUUGUUUCUGCUAUCAUACCUAGACCGGACUUAUUGAAGUAAGGUCUUUGAGCUGAAAGAAUUUUUUUAAGUUUUUCGGACCCUAUUGAAAAUUUCUUUGAAAUAUUUGAUAAGUUAGUUUUUAAAAGGGCAUUUUCUUUCAAAAGAUUAUCUUCAUUUUCUUUAAGAGUGGAAACAGUCAAGUUUAAACUUUUAACUCUUUCUUCUAAAACGUUUUCCUUUUGUUUUAGAGCUGAGUUUUCCUUUUUAAGUUCGGAAAUUCUUUUGAAAGAAGUCUUAAGACUAAACCACAGUUCAUCAAUGUAUUUAGAAACUUUGACAGGAAUUUUAAAAUUACCUACCUCAAAUUCACUGUCUGAGUUUGAUCCAGAAUAUGAGUUUGAUUGUGCCAUCAAACAUAGGUUGGCAUAUUCAUUAUCACUUUUUUCACACUCUGUAUCACUCCAGGUUUCGGCUUUGAGAGCUUUUCGAAACUUUUCAGCUUUUCAUCUCUUCUUCUUCAGAAGAGGACAGUUGGGUCUGAUGUGUCCAUUUUUCUUACAUUCAAAGCAAACUACAUCUUUGUUUGGUUCCUCAUCAUCAACAAACUUGGUCUGCUGUCUUUGAAAACUUUGUUUCUUUGAGUUGAACCUUCUUCAUUUUCUAUUCAGUUUUCUGAAUCUUCUUAUCAUGAGAGCAAGCUCCUCAUCGUCCAUAUCAUCUUCAGAAUCUGUAUCAUCAGAAUCAUCAUUUGAUUUUAAUGCAAUGGAUUUCUUACCUUUUGGAUCUUCAUCUUCAUUAAUUCGUUCCACUUCAUAAGACUGAAGAAUUCCAAUCAGCUCGUCGACAGAUAGUGGCAUAAUUCUUUGCGUCUCUCUUAUUGAAGUCUUUAUGUGAUUCCAAUCCUUGGAGAGUCCACACAGUAGCUUGUUUACCUUCAUGGGAUCAGAAAUUGUUUGUCCUUGAUUCUCAAGACCAUUGACAAUAUUUGUAAAACGGCUAAACAUGUCAGUUAUAGAUUUUCCUGGUUUCAUUUUGAAGGCUUCAUAUUGACUGAGGAGAAUGUUAAUUCUGGUUUCCUUCACUCGAUCUGUUCCUUCAUAGGUGAUAUGUAAUCUGUCCCAAACUUCUUUUGCUGUAACACAAGAAGAUAUUAUGUUAUAUUCAGUUGGUGACAAAGCACAAUAUAAAGAGUAAAUUGUUUUUGCAUCAAGUGCUUGUCUCUUGAUUAUCUCUUCCUGAGUCAUUCCGCUGGUCUCAACAGUUUCUUUCCCUCUUUCAGAGACUGAUGCAGCUGUAGGAGUAAUUUCUUUUUCUACAACGUCCCAUUCCAGAGGAUCCUUUGAUUGUAGGAAAGCUUUCGUCUUGUUCUUCCAGAUGUUGUAAUCCUUUCCAUCAAAGUAAGGUGGUCUGGUAUUGCUUUGCCCUUCCAUCAGCCAUGGUGCUAGCAUACUAGCCAUGGAUCUUUUACUCUGAAGUAAAACACUUCAAAUAAAGUGAGUACACGAGCUCUGAUACCAAUUGAUAUAGCUAGUAUAAGUACUUAGAGGGGGGUGAAUAAGUAUAUAAAUGAUUUUUCUCGAUAAUUGCACAAUACUAAACAGUUGAUAGAUUUGAGACAAAUAAUAAUCAAAGUAAGACUGAGAGAAGAGAAAAUUGAACACGCGGUUUAUAGUGGUUCGGCUUAUUUCAAGCCUACGUCCACUCUUCUGCACUGAUAGCUUAUUGGCUGGAUUCCACUAUGAACAAAGAGAUGUUACAGCGUUGUUCUCCCUUGAUUUCUCGGUGUAGAUGAUCUACCACACUCGCUCAAGGUAUCACUAAGUAUAGACACUUUUUGAGUAUACAAUUUUGCUCAAAAUGUAUCGACUAAUAAUCAAGGUGCUUCAGACUCUGAAAUUUCUCUAUCGAUCAUGCACUAAAGCAACUAGAAUGUCUUCCUUUUAUACUCCUUUAUGCCAUCAUACCCGUUGGCACUUACCAAAGGAAUUCCUCCAAUCUACCCAUUGGACGUAAUCAAUCAAGAAGAUCAUUUGAGCUAUUAAAGGAACCUGACGAUAGCCCAUCAAUCCUGCCCGCCCAUACAAUCAGGAUCUUGGUUUCCAAGAAUAGAACAUUCUAAGAAUAUUUCGUCGACCAUCGGAUCUUCAAACGAUCUUGAUUACGAAUAAAAGAAUCCGUUAUAUUUAUCCAGCCAAGAGAUCUUCUCCAGAGGAUAGGACUAAAUCCUCAACCAAAUACUUCGGCUCUGGAUUGCCUUCGUCACUGGAUUAGAAAAAACUAUCAAUGAGAAUAGUCUUGAGUCUUGAGUGCUGAGUCUGGUGAUCUGAAAGUCUUCAAACUCUAAACAGAAGGUCUGUAUUUAUCCAGACUAGACUGAUAGAAACGUUUUAUCAGCUUCAAAAUAUUAUGGAAAGAUUUCUCCAACAUCGACCUCACCUGCCCUUGCCUCUAGCCGGUCACUGACCGUCAGUGAGUAAUAAUUUCAUUUCUAGCCCGACUCGCCAUGGAUGAUGUUGAGGGAUAGAUGUAAGUUAUGUGAAAAUGGACGCGUGGAUAUUCACACGUUCAACUCCUUUCAAUAUACUUGCUUUCAAACUAUAAUAACUUACUCAUUGGUAAAAAAAGAUAAGAGGUUUCGUCGGCCCAAAAAAGUAGAUAUUUAGAGGAUGAUUACAAAAUCGAUCUACCAAUAAUGAUAACAAAAUCUAACAAAAUCCAUAUAUUUGUCGCAUCCGGAAGAAAACGUUGUAGGUCAUUUAUAGUGGUCAAGGCAAAAUAAUAACAAAUAUCUGUUUAUCCUUAGGAAGGCUGUUCAUUCAAAAUUACCGGAGGCGAACGAGUCAAUUCUCUCUCAUGGCAAGUGAACAAGAUGGGAAAUUUCCUGAUAUUCUGCAUAUGAAAAUUCAUGUGGAGUUUAUUCUUACCUUUACCAAAAAAAAAAAAAAAUUCAUGUGGAGUUCCACAGUCGCACGAGCAAUAUAAAUCCACAUGUUCGCUCCCAGUCCCUCCACCCCUCGAAAGAAAACGAUGUUGGUCAUAUAUAGUGAUCAAGGCAAAAUAAUAGCAAAUAUCUGUUUACCCUUAGGAAGGCUGUUCAUUCAAAAUUACAGAAGGCGAACGAGUCAAUUCUCUCUCAUGGCAAGUGAACAAGAUGGGAAGUUUCCUGACAUUCUGCAUAUGAAAAUUCAGGUGGAGUUCCACAGUCGCACGAGCAAUAUAAAUCCACAUGUUCGCUCCCAGUCCUUCCACCCCUCGUCUUCACAACCCCUAAAAGACAGGGAUUCACUCGAGACGCAGAAACAGCGAAAAAACACCGUCGCCACCGGCGAUGUUCAGCUUCAACGUGUCACCGCUACUCUCCUUCACGCCCUCGCUGGCCUCAAUCACACUCGUCCUCUUCAUCACCUUCCUCACCUUCAAAUGCCUCCGCUUCCUCUUCUCCUCUGCCGCUGCUACUAACCUUCACCUUCCGCCGUCACCACCGAAGCUCCCUAUCAUCGGGAACCUCCACCAGCUCAGCGAUUACCCUCACCGCUCGCUCCAAGCCCUGUCGAGACGCUAUGGCCCCUUGAUGAUGCUCCACUUCGGAAGCGCGCCCGUCCUCGUCGUAUCUUCCGCCGACUGUGCCCGGGACAUCUUGAAGACCCACGACCUCAUUUUCUCCGACCGACCCAGUAUAGGCUAAGCCUGUCGAUCAAUGUUCGUGCAUCUUAAUUCUCUGUUAAGAGUUAUAUUUUCUGGCAUUUAUGAUGGAGAACGUCACGUGGACUACAGAUAUGGACAUUGACCUUGUGCCGAUUCAUUUCAUUUCUUCNNNNNNNNNNNNNNNNNNNNNNNNNNNNNNNNNNNNNNNNNNNNNNNNNNNNNNNNNNNNNNNNNNNNNNNNNNNNNNNNNNNNNNNNNNNNNNNNNNNNNNNNNNNNNNNNNNNNNNNNNNNNNNNNNNNNNNNNNNNNNNNNNNNNNNNNNNNNNNNNNNNNNNNNNNNNNNNNNNNNNNNNNNNGCAUCGCUCGGUGGACCUUACCGAUUGUGUGCGUCGUUUACGAACGACAUCAUAUCCCGGACGGCUCUUUGGAGGAAGUACAGCGAAGACAUGCGGGGCAAGAAGUUCAAGGGACUGUUAGCGGGAUAUGAUGGGGUUGCCUGGGCAUUUUCAACGUUGGGGACUUCAUUCCGAGCCUUGGGUUGAUCAACAAGCUAACUGGUCUAGACGCAAAAGUGGAGCGGGUCGCGAGGGAGUUCGACCAGUUCCUCGAUGAGGUGGUGGAGGAGCAUCGGAGGAAGAUGGAGGAGAAGAGCAUCGGCGGCGGAGGUGAAGAUAGGAGAGACUUUGUGGACGUUUUGCUGGACAUUGAGAAGGACAAAACUGUUGGUUUUGCUUUUGGUGCGGAUAGCAUCAAAGCACUCGUCUUGGUAAGCUCCCUCUUUUCUCCACCAACGAUCUCAUGCAAUCAAAUUUUUUUCUUUCAAGAUAAUUAUUGGAUGAUCUUGGGGCUAUUUCAUCCCAAAAAUUUAAAGAAUGAAGCCUUCUCUCAUAUCUAUAAAUUGAUAUGAAGUUUUCUCUUAUAUCUAUAAAUUGAUCACUAAUUUUUUCCACAACCGACUUAGAAUAAACCCCAACAACAAUAUUGUCCACUGUACUUUUUGAAGAAAAUUUUCUCCAACCAAUUGUUUAUAAAUGAAUCAAAAAUAUAAACUAUACUUACAUUUAGUUUAACUUAAUUAUGGAUGAUGUUCAUGAUCAUUUGUUUUUUGUCCCUACCAAAAUUAGUCGGGUAACCGAGUUGAUGAUUUAAUUAAGAGAAUUCUAAAGUACAAAUUACAAUUUCAUAUGAUAAGUUCUCGUUAAUUUGGAAAUAUCUCACAAUUUUAGAUACUAAUUUUUUAAGUCAUGGUAGAAUUUGUAAGUCUCUCUCUAUAUAGCUUCAUUCAGCUGUGAAGACUCGUGUUUCGAAGAGUACUUAUGAGUCAUAACUGAAUGAAGCGAUAAGCAUCAUUAGUUAUCCAUGAUGAUUGAUUAUCAAGUACACUUGUGCUUGUGCAGGAUAUAUUUUCUGCUGGAACUGAUACAACGUACACAGUCCUGGAGUGGGUAAUGACCGAGCUCUUAAGGCACCCUUGUGCCAUGAACAUUCUCCAAACUGAGGUUCGCAAAAUCGCCAACGGCAAGCCUAACAUAACCCAUGCGGACUUGGAGAAAAUGCAUUACUUGCGAGCAGUCCUCAAAGAGACUCUCCGCCUACACCCUCCGAUCCCGCUCCUCGUCCCACGACUGUCGACCCGGGACGUCAAAAUCCAAGGCUACAACAUCGCAGCGGGGACUAUGGUGAUCACGAAUGCGUGGACCAUCGGGAGGGACCCCAGCACGUGGGACGAGCCGGACAAGUUCAAGCCGGAGAGAUUCUUGAACAGCUCGGUGGACUUCAAGGGACAGGAUUUCGAGCUGAUUCCUUUCGGUGCUGGGAGGAGGGGUUGCCCCGGUACGUCAUUCGCGAUGGCGACGAACGAACUUGUCUUGGCAAAUCUGGUGAACAAGUUCGAUUGGGCACUGCCCGAGGGUCUGAAAGCGGAGGAUUUGGACAUGACCGAAUGCACUGGUCUUACCAUCCACAGGAAAGUCCAUCUCCUUGCUGUUGCCACUCCAUUCCCUAGUUAAGACCAUCGUCAUUACCUUAUAUGUAUUGUUGUAAUAUCGUGGCGAAUGUUUGUGUAAUGAUUUUUUACUGUAAUCAAUUUGUAAUGAUUUUCAUCCGUCAUUAAUCUAUAAUGGUUUCGUAAUGUUUUAUAAUAGCUUAGUAACGGUUUUGUACCAAUUUGCGAUUGAUUUGUAAUGUUUUUUAAUUAAAUGCAAGAAUUGAUGAUGGAUAAUGGCUCUCUUUGUUUUUCUUUUUUCAAUUACAAAUUGUCAGUCCAUACAUAAUUGAAAAGUGAUAGAUAUAUCAAAGUAAGAAAUUCCUGUUUCUCUUUAUUUUUGAGAGAAUUACUAAAAAAGUCUGAAAUUGAUCACAAUUGUGUCAAUUCGGUUAUAAAUUCUUUUCUUCUUUUUUUGGUCAAUUGAGUGAUAAAAUUUUUGUAUGUGUCAAUUCACUUCAUCCAAUCAAUUUUGUCUAAUAAUUGCUGACAUGGACGUCGACUACGACUAUCGUACGUGGUACGACCGUAGUUACAUUAAUAUUUUUUGAACUACUUUUUUAUUUAUUAGUUUUUAUCUCUUCUUCGUUGCUCUGUAUGGCAGCUGUGCAAUGCAAGGACCAACCAUCAUCACCAACUCGGAACAGCUUCUAUACCAAAGCACCAGCCGUGACCCAUUCCGGUCUCUACUCUGCCAAACCAACUGUAAUGGCAAUGUUUGAUUCACAGCCGUGAUGAUCAUCUCGAGAAACCUUCUCUGAGAUAUUUAAUCAAAUCCCCAUUAAGGACAAACCCAUAAAAGUUCAGCUUUGAACGAUUUUUGUUUACUAAACUGUGAAAGUACAAUUGAAUUUUCUACAAACAAAUCAGAACACGGAAUCUACUAAAAGAGGGAAACUUGAAUCCGAGAUGACAUGAAGGUGACACUAACUUAAAAGCCAAGCACAAUUCGACAUGUCUCGUUCCGUUUCCAAUCUAUGAUGACACUGACCCAUAAACCACUUAUCAAAAUGAGGCGGGGUCGCAAGAGGAGCACGCCAUCUUCUUGGUUCACGCUUCGCGUCGCUCUUGCAGAUCAGAUAAAACAAAUUUGUAUUAGAAUUUCUGUCCAUUUCGUUCUUGGACAAAUGAACUACGGAGACUCCUUUUUUCUGGCUGAUAGACGAAACUAGCAAGGUCAUCAGAGAGUGAUAGUUCCAUUUCAAGGCAGAGUUGCGGUCGAUGAUGUUGAUAUUUUUGUAAGUUCUGUGAAAAUGGAUGCGUGCAUCUUUGCGCGUUCAACUCCUUUUAGUCGACUUGCUUUCAAUCAAUCAAUUAAAAUAUAAUGAACCCCACAUAUCAUUCCUUACACAUCGGGCAAAAAGACAAUUUUUGCAAAGAGGUACUAUUGUAAAGUUAAGCCUACAGACGGUCACAAAAGAAAUUAGAUAUUAAGACGAUGAUUACAAUAUCGAUCUACCAAUAAUGAUAAUAAUAUUAAUAUAUUUGUCUCAAUUCGGAAGAAAAUCGUUGUUGGUCAUGUAUAGUGAUCACAAGGCAAAAGAAUAGUAAAUAUUUAUUUAUCCUUAGUUAGAGCUGUUCAUUCAAAAUUACCGGAGGGGAACGAGUCAAUUCUUUUUUAUGGCAAGUGAACAAGACAGGAAAUAUCCUGGUAUUCUACAUAGGAGAAUUCACGUGGAGCUCCACAACAGCACGAACAAUAUAAAUUCACAUGUUGUCGCGACCUACCCUCGGGGGGAGGGAACAGAUUUAGGGGUAUUGCCUAAAGGACGGGGCUAAGGCCCAUUAUCAGGCGCGGGCUCUCCCAAGCCCAUACCCCGCGUGACAUUGGGAUAUUCUUUAGGAUUUUUGCACAAAAGGAGUCGCCACUAGCUUAUUGGGGUCGGCUAGAAACCAAGUGAGGUAUGGGAGUAUACCUCACUUCCUACGCAACCAGAGAAUCUAGGUUCGGGGACUUGAUUACACUAAUUAACCAAUUAGUGCCCUUUCGGUACCUAAUCUUGUUCAUUUUAACAAAAUGAUUUUUGACAAGCAGUUUGGAUUAAUUUUAUACUUAUCCACUAACAUACGAGGUGAUCAUGCGGGUGCGCAAUCAUUAAAGUAAUAAUCAUAACUAUCAAGAUUCUAAUUGCCAUAAAAUUAAACACAUGCAAUCAAACAUAAUUAGAUAUGCAAAUUAAACAUGCAACGUAAUCAAAAUACGAGCACAUAAAGGUCUAAUUAUGCUAAAAAUGCAAAGCAUAGCAACUUCUAACCGAACCCCGUUAUUUUUGGAUUUUCGAUUUUUUUUAAAAUUUUUUUUAAAUUAAUUAAUUUUUUUAAUUUUUAAUUAAUUAAUUUUUUAAAAAAAUCGAAUUUUUAAUGUUUUCUGAGUUUUUUGAAAUUUCGGAAAUUUUUUGGAAUUUUUGAAUUUUUAUCAUUUUUUUUAAUUUUUGAUUUUUAUAAUUAAUUUUAUGAAUUUUUUAAUUUUUAAUAUAUAUUUAAUAUUUAAUAUUAUUAUACUUCAAUAAAAUGGGUUCGGACCGGGUAAACCCAAUUCGGCCCGCGGACCCAACCCAAACCCGGAUCCAAUACUUUUGGAUUUUUUUAUUUAAUAUAUAUAUAAAGAUCAUUUCAGUAGUCUUUUCUCACUGCACACUCCCCUUCUGCGAUUCCUCCUUCCCAAGACCAACUUUUCCUUUCUCUUUUUUUUUUUAAAUAUUUUGUUUUACUUUUUCAUUUUUUUAUACUUUUCUUUUUCUCUUUCUUUUAUUCUUUUUUUUUUGGGUCUUCUUCUCCUUCGUGCUUGCCCCUGCACGCCUUCAACCCUCCCGAAAAGGGCCUUCUCCUUCCUCGCGAUAUUCCUCACAAAAAUUCGUUUCUUUACCAAGACUAAUUUGAACAACAACAAUAACCAAAGCACUUAGCAUCCUUUCUAACACCAAACCACCCCGACGCAAAUCAACGCCGGCCAUCUAACUUCGAGGGCUGCUAUACCAUUUUCGGAUGCAAACGCCCACAGCUCAAGCACACAUGAUUAUUUUAUGAAAAUCGCAUGGAAUCAUGAUGAAAACAUGAGAGACAGACAGGAUCCAACAUAUAUACGAACAAGCGCAAAUUAAACCGAGUUUGAACGCGGGUUUUUACUCGGUUCUCUUUGAGACAUUUUGUCAAACACUGGGUGUACAAUAGCUAAAAGAGGGCAUACGGCUCACUUGAGGCUCGAAUCCGAGUAAAGAUCAACACAAUAUGCACUAGGACAUCUAUGAGCUUUCAUGGAGGACCGGUGAAGCCGAAGCUCGCGAGAACAGGUCGGCCGUGAGCUCUGGCCCGAGACUUCGAAGUGAAGCGAGAAGCCUGCCUGGUUCGGAUGGCGAGCUACGAGCGUACUCCAGGCGACGGCGACACGCUCUCUCCCCAAUCGUCUCUCUCCCCAGGGUUUUCCUCCUGCUUUUUCGUCCCUUCUCUCCGCUCGAUUGGCGUCGGGAGCUGCGGCGACGGGUACGAUGAGUCGACGCUCGGAGGGCAGCGGCGACGUCGCAGCUUCGGGCUGCAGGCGUCGCAGGGGGUAGCGGUGGCGCAGCGAGGGCUGCCACCACGACUCCUCCUCCCCUGUGUUUCUUUCUCUCGUUUUCUUUUUUCUCUCUGUUUUUUUUGUGCUCAGUCCCUCCCUGUUUUUCCCCCCUCUGUCUGUUUUCUUCUCUUCUUUUUCUGGUGCAGAUCUUCCCCUGCUUCUCUUCGCGUGCGCGCGAAUCAGCUCCGCGUGCGUCCGAAUCGGCUCCCCCCAACCCGCCGACCUGCCAGCGAGAUGAUGCUGUCUCCUCUACCUUCCCUGCCCUUGCUUUCGGCUUUGCCAUUUACCUAAGCGGACGGUUGCUUUCUGCUUCGCUAGUUCCCCGUGCAGAAAAACGGCUGAGGGAGAAGACAACGGGGUGGGCCGGGCUAGAGGGAAGAAGAGGGCUGGGCCGUGCGAGGGGAAAAGAAAAAAAGAAAAAAUAAAAAGGAAAGGGGAGGGUUUGAGCCGAAGCCCACGCAGGGAGGAAAUAAAAGGAAAAAGGGGCCGGGUCGGGCCAAGGCCGGAUCCGGCCCAACCCGGACCUCACAACUCUUUUUUUUUGUUUUCCUUUUUUUUUAAAGGAAAUUAAUAGCUAAAAUUUUUUGAUUUUGAUUUUGAUUCUAAUUGAUUUUUUUUUAAUACUAUUUGAAAGAUAAAAAACUAGGUGUCAACAGCUGCCCCUCUUUGAAUGUAGCCUCGAAGAGGUUGCAAUCAAAGACAGACGACACCUAAAUUAUUUUUGGCGAUAGAAAGACCCUAGGUGCAUAUGCACAUAUUAGGUCGACGAAAAGGAGUCAUAAUUAUGAAAAUGUGUCUUGUCAAUAAGGUGAAGAAAGACUUCAAGCUGCAGAAGCCCACCAAGUCAUAAAAAGUGAUGAAGACUCCAGGAUACAAGGCUCUCCGGGUCAUAAGAAGUGAGGGAGACACCAGGAUACAAGGCUCUCCAGGUCAUAAGAAGUGAGGGAGACUCCAGGAUACAAGGCUCUCCGGGUCAUAAGAAGUGAGGAAGACUCCAGGAUACAAGGCUCUCCAGGUCCUAAGAAGGGUGGAAGACUCCAGGAUACAAAGCUCUCCGGGUCAUAAGAAGGGUGGAAGACUCAAGGAUACAAAGCUCUCCGGGUCAUAAGAAGUGAUGAAGACUCCAGGAUACAAGGCUCUCCGGGUCAUCAGAAGUGAGGAAGACUCCAGGAUACAAAGCUCUCCGGGUCAUCAGAAGUGAGGAAGACUCCAGGAUACAAAGCUCCCCGGGUCAUAAGAAGGGUGAAAGACUCCAGGAUACAAAGCUCUCCGGGUCAUAAGAAGUGAUGAAGACUCCAGGAUACAAGGCUCUCCGGGUCAUCAUAAGUGAGGAAGACUCCAGGAUACAAGGCUCUCGAGNNNNNNNNNNNNNNNNNNNNNNNNNNNNNNNNNNNNNNNNNNNNNNNNNNNNNNNNNNNNNNNNNNNNNNNNNNNNNNNNNNNNNNNNNNNNNNNNNNNNNNNNNNNNNNNNNNNNNNNNNNNNNNNNNNNNNNNNNNNNNNNNNNNNNNNNNNNNNNNNNNNNNNNNNNNNNNNNNNNNNNNNNNNNNNNNNNNNNNNNNNNNNNNNNNNNNNNNNNNNNNNNNNNNNNNNNNNNNNNNNNNNNNNNNNNNNNNNNNNNNNNNNNNNNNNNNNNNNNNNNNNNNNNNNNNNNNNNNNNNNNNNNNNNNNNNNNNNNNNNNNNNNNNNNNNNNNNNNNNUUUUUUUAGGGAAGCACCCACUAACCCUUAGAAAACUACAUGGCUUCACUGAUGAAUCCUGUCAAACUCAACUUGAGCAAAUGUCAUUAGAGAGGCCAUCAAGAGACGUAUUGGCAAUACUGUAACAUUAAUUGAACAAAAUAAUCAAGCUAAGUCCGAUUGCUUUAGAAAAACAUUCGAUGUCCAUUAGCAUCAUGUGGCACAAAACUGUCAUCUUGCUCGUGGAUAUAUCAUUAAUCAUCAAAUUUUCUAGGAGGCAAGUUCUCAUUAGAACAGCUACGACUCGAGAAAAAGGUUCAUUAAGCAUGCCAAACUAGAGCUUCUUAGUCAGAAAUGGUUUCUCACGCACUCUCAAUAAAAUGGCUACUUGAUCCCAUCCAUUCGUGUGGGAGAUAAUUGAUUGCUAAAGGUUUCUAACAUAACCUAUGUCGAAGGCUUCCGGAAACAUUCGCAAUGAGCACAAUCUGAUCAAUCAAAAAGGUCUUUUGAAAGGAUCGCAAUAUAGGCUCGGUUAGGGCUUAUACAAAGAAAUUAUUGCUUUGAGGCCAACAAAGGAACAUUUGUCACUAUCUUUAUCGGCUUUACAAGUCGAGAGCUUGGAAGAUGAGACAAGAUAAAAUUACUUCCACUCCUUCAAGCAGUAGCUUCUCGGUGGUAUUCUCAUUUUCACUCAAACCAUCCCAAUCAGAAGAGACUUCGGAAGAGGGUUGUAAUGUUGGCUUAGGAGAGGCUCGAAAGGCUUAAAAUUUUCAAGAGGGUUUUUAAGAGUUGGUGAUCAUCAUGACAUCAUGACCAGGUCACUUGACAUUUCCAAAUCAUUUGGCUUUUGAAAUACAACGCAUCUCGAAAGUCCCUUAACUAAUCUUUUGUGCAUGGGAGCUUUGCUCCUUUCUCUAAUGUCCUUUGCUCUUGUGAUGAAUUUUUUUUUUUUUUUGCACAAGCACUUGGACCUUGAUAAUAAUUUUUUUCCACAUAAGAUGCAACUUUUGGCUUUUUUUUUUCUUUUCUUUUUAAUGGGCAUUGGCCUUGCUUUUACCAGGCACGCUGCUUUUUUAUGCCCCCUAGUUUGUAGAACUCUUUGCUCUUUGAACUCUUGGAGCUCUUAUGACUUUUGAGAUGCUUUUCAUAUUUUCUUGUGACUCUCAAUUGUAUUUGGUCAAUUCUCAUGCCUUGCCCCAGUGAAGGGAGAUGAUCACCACUCGGGGUUUAAAAAUGAAUAAUCAGGCCCAAAUUGGUAAAGCAAUGGAUAUGUGUUUGGGUAGAGAAGGAAAUGCUCUUCUUCACUUUGGGAUGAGUCAAGAUCUAAUGAGAAUUCCUUUGAAGCUAUCACCAGAAGAUUGAUACAAGUGAAAGUAAUAGGAUCUUUCCCAAUCCUUUGCUUUACAACACGACUGUAACCUCCUAUGCUGCCCCAAUUUCGGGUUGUCCUCAAUAGGGGUACUUUGGAGGAUCAUCUCUAUUUGGCCUGAAGGGCUAGCAAUGUGUCAGCUUGGUGUUUGGGAUUGGUGAAGGAAAUGCCUUUAUCAUUUCGAUCUUCAUGCUCAAUGCGAAUGGAUCCUUCGUCCUAAGAGAAGGUUAUUUUUCACUCAACUCUUGAAAGUGUUCGAAGGAUGUGUUUGGAAAUGACUUACCUUUCUUCAUCCUAAGCACUCCUUGUUCGGCAUGAUUAACAUUUCAACUUUUAUCCGAAUAACAUCAUUCUUACGAGCUCCCAUCUUCGAGAAUUACCGACAUGAAGCACGUAUAGUGGCACCAGAAAAUAGGUGGUGGGAAUGAGGCUAUGCCCCCCGGUUUUUUUUUUUUGGUUUUUUUUUUUUUACCUCUCAUUUAAGAAAAAGAGAUAUUCAACUGUUUGUGCGGAGACUUGAUGGGUCUUUUGAAUCGACUUUUCCCUCCGCCAUUUUCCUCAUCGAACGGUAAGGUGCCUGAAACACAAAUAGAUAUGCAUGUAUGUGAUAUAUGUAUGAUAUCUAUGAUGCUAUGCAUGAUGCCAUGUGACUCAGAUUGCGCAUGAAGUGGCUCUUCGACCUUGAUUACAAUCAUGGAAAGUAUUUCUUGACUGCAUCUGAGUUUACAGGUCUAGGCAAUUCACUGCCAUCCAUUUCAACUAAAAUCAUAGCACCACCAGGCAGAAUCUUUUUAAUGACAUACGGCCCUUCAUAGUUCGGGGUGAAUUUUCCACGAGGGUCUGGUAUAAUCGGAAGCACUUUCCUCAGCACCAGGUCAUUGACUUCAAAGUAUCUAGGACGCACCCUUCGAUUGAAGGCUUUUGCAACUCGUCUCUGAUAGCAUUGGCCAUGACACACAACUUGCAAUCUCUUCUCAUCAAUCAAGUUUAACUGCUCAUGCCUCUGUUGCAUCCACUCAGUCUCAUCGAGCAUAGAUUGGGAAAUGACCCUUAGAGAAGGGACCUCAACUUCAACAGGUAAGACUGCCUCCAUCCCAUACACGAGUGAAAAAGGAGUUGCCCCUGUGGAGGUGCGGAUAGAAGUUCGAUACGCCAUUAACGCGUAAGGAAGUCUAUCGUGCCAAUCACGAUAAUUUUCGGCAGUCUUCGAUAGGAUUUAUGUUCUUGUUCGCCGCCUCCACUGCUCCAUUCAUUUGAGGACGAUACGGUGACGAGUUCAAAUGCUUAAUUCGAAACUCACUAAACAAUCCAUCUACGACUUUGUUGUUCAAAUUAGUGCCAUUGUCGGUAAUGAUCGCCUCCGGCACCCCGUAGUGAGCGACAAUGUCGCGACGAAUGAACUUUGCCACAUUUCUUGCAGUAACAUUAACAUAUGAAUUGGCCUCGAUCCACUUGGUAAAAUAGUCUAUCGCCACCAGAACAAAUCGAUGCCCAUUUGAAGCUUUGGGGUUAAUGGGCCCAAUCACGUCAAUUCCCCACAUUGAAAAGGGCCAGGGUUGAGACAUUUGGUGAAGCUCAUUUGGAGGGGCAUUUAUCCUAUCUCCAUAAAUCUGGCACCGGUGACACCAUCGUACGUGCUGAAUGCAGUCAGACUCCAUGGUCAGCCAAUAAUAACCAAGUCGCAUGAUCUUUCUCACCAAGAAGUGUCCAUUCAUAUGGGGGCCACACUCCUCUUCAUGUAUCUCUUUCAUCAAACGGUCGGCUUCUUUAGCGUCGACACACCUUAGCAAUGUCGAGUCGAAUGACCUUUUGUAGAUGACAUCUCCACUGGCGAAGAAUUUCGAUGCUAACUCUAUUAAAUGCUUUCUAUCUGCUGCUUCACUUCCUUCGGGAAAUUCACCAUUCUGCAGAUACUUCAAGAUGUCAUGAUACCAAGGCUGUCCGUCCGGUUCUUCUUCAAUCAUCAUGCAAUAGGCGGGGCGCCUAAAGAUUUCAAUUCUUAAUGGUUCAAUGUCCAAGCCUCCAGCUAUUUGUAACAUUGAAGACAAGGUAGCUAGGGCAUCAGCAAACUGAUUUUGAGACAUUGGCAAGUAUUCAAAUUCUAUUUCUUGGAAUUCUUCCAUCAACUUCCCCCGGAACUCAUGAUACGGAAUCAAUUUAGAAUCCUGUGUUCGCCAUUUGCCUUUAGUCUAUAAGAUGAUAAGGGUUGAAUCACCAUAAACCCGCAUCUUUCGGAUCUUCAUGUCAAUAGCAGCUUGGAGGCCGAGAAUGCAUGCUUCAUAUUCGGCAAUAUUAUUCGUGCAAGGGAACAUCAAUUUAGCGGCAACAAGGUAGUGCUGACCGUCUGGGGAGAUAAGAACCGCCCCGGUACCCGACCCAGCUAAAUUAACUGCACCAUCGAAGUACAUCGUCCAUUUGUCACUUGAUACAAGUAAAAUUUGCUCCCCUGCAUCACUAUCUUCGUCAGAUGUCCUGGACCUCUUGGGACUUUCUGCCAACAUGUCUGCUAUGGCACGACCUUUAACGGACUUCUGCCCCAGGCUCUGAACGUCAAACUCUGAAAUUAAUAUUUGCCACUUGGCCAACUUGCCAACCAAUGUCGGCCUCUCCAAGAGGUAUCUGAUGGGAUCGUUUUUGGUCACCAACAGGAUUCGGUGAUGGAGCGUGUAUUGUCGCAGCCUGUGCAAGACCCAAAAUCAAGGCCACACAAGUUCUCUCAACUGCUGUGUAGUUCAUCUCGGAAACAGUAAACUUCUUGCUCAAGUAAUAUAUCGCGCAUUCUCUCCAGUCAUUUGGUUUUUUCUGUGCUAACAUGGCUCCCAAUGAUUCAUCAUGUAUGGUCAAGUACAAAAUUAGGGGAAUUUUAGGGAGAGGGGGUACUAAGACUGGUGCAUGAGUGAGAUAGUGUUUUAUCUUCUCGAAGGCACCCUGACACUCGAUAUCCCACUCAAUCUUUGCAUUCUCUUUCAGGAGUUUGAAGAAUGGCUUCGCUGUUUCAGACAAUUGGCAGAUGAACCUCGCCACAUAAUUGAGCCGCCCCAUCAAGCUGCGGACCUCCUUGGUGGUGGUCGGGGCUCGUAAAUCACAAAUAGCCUUAACCUUUGACCCGACAUAGAGGGAUNNNNNNNNNNNNNNNNNNNNNNNNNNNNNNNNNNNNNNNNNNNNNNNNNNNNNNNNNNNNNNNNNNNNNNNNNNNNNNNNNNNNNNNNNNNNNNNNNNNNNNNNNNNNNNNNNNNNNNNNNNNNNNNNNNNNNNNNNNNNNNNNNNNNNNNNNNNNNNNNNNNNNNNNNNNNNNNNNNNNNNNNNNNNNNNNNNNNNNNNNNNNNNNNNNNNNNNNNNNNNNNNNNNNNNNNNNNNNNNNNNNNNNNNNNNNNNNNNNNNNNNNNNNNNNNNNNNNNNNNNNNNNNNNNNNNNNNNNNNNNNNNNNNNNNNNNNNNNNNNNNNNNNNNNNNNNNNNNNNNNNNNNNNNNNNNNNNNNNNNNNNNNNNNNNNNNNNNNNNNNNNNNNNNNNNNNNNNNNNNNNNNNNNNNNNNNNNNNNNNNNNNNNNNNNNNNNNNNNNNNNNNNNNNNNNNNNNNNNNNNNNNNNNNNNNNNNNNNNNNNNNNNNNNNNNUUACAGGCACGAUAUUCGCUACCCAAUCAGGAUAACGUGUCACUUCGAUAAAAUCUACUUUCAGCAGCUUCAUUACUUCUUCUUCGAUCUUCUUGGACAAUUCUGGUUUAGUUCUCCUGAGUCUUUGCUUCUUGGGUGGCAUAUCAGGAUCUGUUGGUAGAGCAUGUUCCACAAUUUCGGGAUCCAAUCCCGGCAUGUCGGCAUAUGUCCAAGCGAACACAUCUUGAUAUUCUUUCAAAAGAUUAGUCGUCUUUUCCGCCUCUGACUCUGAGAGACAUGCUCCGAUCCUUACUUCUCUGACAUUCUCUGCAUCACCUAAAUUUAUGGUGAUUGUUCGCUCUUCGGUCAACGGCUUCGAUCCUUCAUAUUGAUUCCAUUCGCGUUUGAUCCCCUUUUGAUCGUCAUCGUCAGUGUCAUCGGAACCUGAGAGACUUUCUUCAUGCACGUCCGAGUCAUAUGCGUUCUUAUUAUGAUUAUGCAUAAUGUGAUGCUUUGAAGGGACAACCAUGACUUCAGAGGACUCAGCCUCCUUGCAUGCCAAGAUGGCACAUAUGAUGUCUUCCUCGAAUAGCUCAGUCACACCAUAGAUGUCCCCCUCUUCCUCGACUAACAUCCUUGGAGGUCCUGGAAACGUUUCUUCCAACAACGGAUGAAACAGGCCUUGAUCGCCCUCACCCUCCUCGGUUUGAGCAAUACGUUCACUCCAAUCUCUAUACCCACCUCGGCCUCCUCGAGCAUUUCGGCCUCUCUGCCUUCCACGGGCCCCUCGGUUGCCACGACCACCUUGCUCGCUACGACCUUCUCGCCCCUCAACAUAUCCUAGGCCUCUCCUCUUCGAGUUUUUAUGAGCUUCAAUGGGUUUUCGCACACCCUGAUCGUGUGAUCCAAGGCCCUCUCCAGGAUUAUACCCACUUGCCAACAUAAUCUUUCCCGCAGCUAUGGCCGGCCUAGACAAAUUAGGAGCCUUUGUGAAGGACCCUACAGGCACAUGGACCAUGGAUACCAGCUCGAGGGUUUGAAAGCUGGAUUCCUCGGUACACUCUGGCUCCGCAUAGGGGAUGGCUGUCUCGUGAUAGAUCUUGAAGUCGGAUUCUCCAUGGACCGUGAUAAGCCUGUUGUCCACCACAAAUCGUACUUUCUGAUGGAGGCUAGAGGCAACAGCGCCUGCUGUGUGGAUCCACGGCCUCCCUAGCAAAAAAUUAAAAGCACUUGGUAUAUCUAACACUUGGAACACGGCUUGGAAAAGUACAGGGCCAAUCAGCAGCUCAAGCUCAAUUUCCCCUAUCACAUCUUUCUUCAUCCCAUCAAAAGCCCGCACAGUCGACUUGCCAGUACGGAUUCUCCCAAGAUCAAUACCAAGACGGUGGAGAGUAGCCAAAGGGCAUAUAUUGAGUGCCGAACCGUUAUCAAUCAAUACUCUGCAAACAAGAGUGCUUUCAUGUUUCACCGAGAUAUGUAGCGCUUUGGUAUGAUUAGGACCAUCGGGGGGGAGAUCUUCAUCAGUAAAGGAAAUUUGGUCUUUUAAUAGAACGGCCCCAACGAACUUCUCCAAUUGGACUUCGUCAAUUGACUCUGGCACAUGCACCUAGUUAAGGACUUUUAGCAAGAUGUCCCUAUGCUUCUCGGAAGAUUUGAAUAAUUUCAAGAGGGAGAUUUGAGCCGGCAACUUCCGCAGUUGAUCCACCACGUUGAACUCACUAGACUUUACUACAGCCAAAAAUUGAUUUGCCUCCUCCUCGAUCACGGCCUGAUUGUGUGACAGCAUCUACCUCAUUUGUUCCGUAACCCCAAGGUACAGUUUUGGAAUCGAAUUUGGGAGGAUACUCCAGCAUUACCAUUCCGUCUUCCUCCUGGGGAGGCAAUUCAAUCGUGACCGGCAUUGUGUGUCCUCCCAUGACUUCGAUUGUCGACAUCUCUUCGACCAUAAGGUUGAUCACUGUGGGUUCAGCCAUUUCCAGCUCGAUAUCGCAGGCGAGCUCCUCAUCGGACAAUUCAAUCACCAUCGGGGUAAUCAUAGCUAUCACCCCUUCCUCAUAUAAAGCUGGGGUCUUCGAAAUUCCAUGCAUAGCCUUUCUCGCCCGAGACAUACCAGCAAAGUUGCAGAAAGAUGAGCGGAAUGAUGAUGGCAUUGUCACGGAUACGACAUUCUCUUCCUUUUCUCCGCGUCUGAUUACUCCCAUGGUUAUCAUCCUACGGAUGCGGUUCAAUCUCUCUUCUAGGGUCACAUCCUCCUGGCCUUCAUAGUAUCCCGCUAGCACUAGGGAUUCAUACAACUCGGAAGCAUCCAAUACUAGAGGUUGCUGACUCGCCUGUGUGUCCUCGGAAAUUGAGUUCACUCCCCCUACAUGAUUUGGUAGAGGGUUCUGUUGCACGUUGGGCUGAGCUUCCCUGAAAGUCAAAAUGUUCUUGUCUAGAAGCUGUUGAACUUUGUAUCUUAGUAUGUGACAAUUAUCUACAUCAUGCCCCAUUUCUCCCAUGUGGUAUUCACAGGUCUUGGUUAUAUCGAACCCGGCAAACCUCGGGGGGUUAUCUCUAGGCACCUCCUUUACGACCAUCCUCUUUUCAAGAAGCAUGGGCAAUAAUUUUGACAGCGGGCGUGGUAGUGGAGAAAACCCUUUUUCGAAACGGCCUCUUGCCAUUAUCGAAUGCUUGUGAUGAACUACCUGGAACCGUCGUAGGCUUGUGCGCGGGUGUUGCGGUUGGCCGAGGGAAAUGGGGCUCUUGCACAAGUGCUACUUCAAUUGCGGCCUCUUUAUCUUUUCUUGCUGGAAAUUUCUUCGCGCCUUCGGUUGAAAUCUUUCCCUCAACCAUUGCCCAUUCAACUCCUUCACCUACCUCAACUAGAUGUGAAAAUGUUUGGCAACCCGAGAAUACUAACCCUUGGAAGUAUUCAGAGAGCAAUGUCUUGAGGAACAGCUGCUUCAUCUCCCUCUCAUUCAAGGCCGGCUUCACUUGUGAGGCCAUGGUCCUCCACCUUUGCGCGAAGGCCUUGAAUGACUCAUUCCUCUUCUUCUCAACACGAGUCAACUCCUCCCUCGUGGGGGCAAGCUCAGUGUUAAACCGGUAUUGUUGUAAGAACUCAUUGGUUAAGUCGUCCCAACUAGUGAAUUCUUCAAUGUCCAGCGCAAUGAACCACGUCAGGGCAAUGCCUUCCAAACUAUCUUGGAAUGUGUGUAUGAGGAAUGGCACGUUGUCAGCAUAGCGAGCCAUUUUUCUCAUGUAAUACCUAAGGUGGGUCUUUGGGCAUCCCGUUCCGUCAUACUUUCUUGUGAACUCAGGCUCCUAGAAAUUCUCAGGAAAGCUCGUCUUGGUGUAUGGAGAUAACCUAUCAGCUCCUUUCAAUUCAUAACCUUGCAAGACACAUAGUCGCUCUUCCAUCUUUGCCAAACGUUUUUCACUCUCGUCACUUAGGCGAGGUGUUGGGUUUUCCUUCGGAGGAGGAUUCAAAUUGACGAUGAUUGGCGUGGCAGAAGGAGCUUCUCCAACAAUUUCUUUCCCGGGGAGAUCAGCAACGUGCGUGCCUCCCGUCGACGGGGAAGCAUGUUCUGAUAACGCAGGAGUGGAUGUUCCAGUGACAGCUACGGCGGGGAGCUCCUUAAGCUUCUGACUUAUUUCAAGCAUCAUUGCGGUGAGUUGGGCUAGCUGGUCCUCCAUCUUGGCCAUGCGCACAUUGGUGUCAUCAUUCUCCAUUCUAACUUUUGCGCGCGUGUGAAUUGGGGAUCUCCGCUUGGCCAUGUCGACGAUCAGUAGAAGACAAUCGAUCAGUUAGUACCUGACGAAAGUAGAUAAGCAUAUAUAAGUACAAGUAAUAAUUAGGCGGUCGGUCCACGACAAAGAUCUAAUCGCCCCAAUUUGCUCGUUUCAUUGAAAGCCCGGUUGCUACAUAAUACAAGAAAAAACACAAAAGAAAACCCUUAAACAACAAAGCUAUUUCAAAGACGAAAAGACAUUCUCUUAACUCUAAAUUUUCAAUAUCGAGACUCGAGACGAACUCCAUAAUAUUCCAACGUAUGCGAAUAUGGUCCCGCUACAUAUUACGCUCGACUCAAUCUAACUAAUGAGGAUGGCUUCCGCUUGUGGCAGCUCCACUAACUCGGGUUAACUUCGAAGCACGCUCCUCGGCUUCCUUGAGCUCCCUCUUGAGGCGCUUGAUCUCGGCUCGGUGGGUGAUCUUCAAUGGCACUUCAGGAAUCUUCGGGCGAAGGCUCUCUGGAAUCUUGUGUCUAAGGAUGUAUUCUUUCGAGGCAUAGUAAGUCUUCUCUUGCCCCUCCAACUCUUCUUCGGGCCAAAUUAGCUUCCGGGGGUGGCACAUAUCCCACAUCGAUUUGACCAACGCAACGGAGUCCUCGUGAUCUUGGCAUCCGUCAGGGAAGUCUAUCCUGAGCGGGUUAUCCUGGAUCGCCGGCGGAAGCUGUUGAACCUCUUGAAACUGACGGGUGACUCGAGUCGGGUAAUAUUCGGUGACUCUAGUGAUUCCCAAUAAAGGAAUAGGUCCAGUAAGUCCACACACGAACCGCGCUUUUUGAACUCAGAGCCAUUUGGCAUGCCAUUGGAAAUCCUCAGGUCCGGGGUUGGUCAUGAAAGCUAACCACUCAGAAUAAUGAUAAUCAGGGGCAAACAUUUUCCUAUCUCUAAACUUUAGGAUAGGGUGGUUAGAGUCAGAAAUGUCACUCACGGUCAUCAAGUUACCAAACCCUUUAAUGUGAGAAAAAAACCAAAUUUGCAAGAGUUCAGGGGGAGCAUAGAAAGCUUUGUUUUUGUUUUCUUUAAAACGAGUAAGGGAGAGAAAGGUUUCAGUUAUGACGGCAUUAACAAAACCCUUUCCCAUACAUACCUCACGAACUACCCAUGCCACGGAAGGGUUAAUAGCAUUCCUACAAUGUGGGAAUAAUACAAACCCGAAGAAAGCUAAGAGGAAAAUCCUAUUCUUUUGAAAAGAUUUGGCAUUUUGAAAAAGCUCAUUUAAGAAUGAAAACGGGCAAGUCUUGCGGUUGGCUUUUAAAACUUUCCUCACGUCCUAUUCUUUAAUUUUAAGAAAAUCAGAUAAGGUCGAUGCAUGCUCGGUCCCUACAGGUGGGCUAACUAACUCCGACACCAAGGGUUUUCCAAUGGCAACGCCGUAUUCUUCCAAGGUUGGAGUGAGUUCGUGAUCACCGAGUAUGAACGUGCAAGUUGCGGGGCACCAAAAAUGCGCUAAUGCUUGCACAACACCAGAAUGAGUUUCUAUCCCCAAUAGGGGAAGUAAACGUCCAACAUACGAUCGCACCCAAUCAUGGCCUGUUGGAUCUAAUCUAUCCCACCACGCACGAAGCUCGACUUUCGGGACGGAGAUGAUGCGAAGGUCGGGUACCCCCAUCGUAUGAUCAACCUAAUUUGUCAUGGACCGGCCAAAAUGAAAACAAAUAAGUAAAUUGCGAUGAAAAGAAUUCAAGAAAAACUUACCCUACUCAUUGAGCAGCGAUGUAAAGGUCAUAGACAUGCGCAUGGACAGUGGUUCAAUUUCUACUCUAGAUGGCUCCAAAUGAAGCCAUGGGAUCACAGGACUGAACCAACAAGCUCGUGGCUAGGUCGUGUUACCCAUGACUCUGGCUUCGUCAAAGGACCGACUCGUGUCGCAUGCUCGCAGACCAGGGUGAGGACCUUUGACAUCAAGAAAGAAAUUUUGGGGUUGAGAUGGGCGACUCGUACUACAUGCUUGUAGUCGGAGUGGUAUCCACCUCAACACCAUCCUAAGUGAUCCUAUGCGGCCCAGGUCCGGCGGCAAGUUGUGUGUGCUAAAGUAUAGUGCAAUGCAGGAGAUACAGGCAUGACAAUUUAUAAGCAAUCAACACUUCAUACAUGGACAAUAAACCAUACAUUCCUUCACCUCCCUACAAAACAAAGGUGAGCAAACACUUCCCCUUAUACCUCCCAUUCUACAAAAACAUUUAACACAUUUAAUGUUAGGGACUAACCUCCUCGCUGCCAAACAAAAAUAUUUUUUGAACAAGAUUAAUUUUGGCCUAAGUCCUCUAAGGUUCAAAACCAAGUCCCCAGUGGAGUCGCCAAGCUGUCGCGACCUACCCUCGGGGGCAGGGAAUAGGUUUAGGGGUAUUGCCUAAAGGACGGGGCUAAGGCCCAUUAUCAGGUGCGGGCUCUCCCAAGCCCAUACCCCUCGUGACAUUGGGAUAUUCUUUAGGAUUUUUGCACAAAAGGAGUCGCCACUAGCCUAUUGGGGUCGGCUAGAAACCAAGUGAGGUAUGGGAGUAUACCUCACUUCCUACGCAACCAGAGAAUCUAGGUUCGGGGACUUGAUUACACUAAUUAACCAAUUAGUGCCAUUUCGGUACCUAAUCUUGUUCAUUUUAACAAAAUGAUUUUUGACAAGCAGUUUGGAUUAAUUUUAUACUUAUCCACUAACAUACGAGGUGAUCAUGCGGGUGCCCAAUCAUUAAAGUAAUAAUCAUAACUAUCAAGAUCCUAAUUGCCAUAAAAUUAAACACAUUCAAUCAAACAUAAUUAGAUAUGCAAAUAAAACAUGCAACGUAAUCAAAAUACGAGCACAUAAAGGUCUAAUUACGCUAAAAAUGCAAAGCAUAGCAACUUCUAACCGAACCCCGUUAUUUUUGGAUUUUCGAAUUUUUUUUAAAUUUUUUUUAAAUUUUUUUUUAAAUUUUUUUUAAUUAAUUAAUUUUUUUUAAUUUUUAAUUAAUUAAUUUUUAAAAAAAUCGAAUUUUUAAUGUUUUCUGAGUUUUUUUUGAAAUUCUUUUUUGAAUUUUUGAAUUUUUAUCAUUUUUUUUAAUUUUUGAUUUUUAUAAUUAAUUUUAUGAAUUUUUUAAUAUUUAAUAUAUAUUUAAUAUUUAAUAUUAUUAUACUUCAAUAAAAUGGGUUCGGACCGGGUAAACCCAAUCCGGCCCGCGGACCCAACCCAAACCCGGAUCCAAUACUUUUGGAUUUUUUUUUUAUUUAAAAAAAAAGAUCAUUUCAGUAGUCUUUCCUCACCGCACACUCCCCUUCUGCGAUUCCUCCUUCCCAAGACCAACUUUUCCUUUCUCUUUUUUUUUUUUUAAUAUUUUGUUUUACUUUUUCAUUUUUUUUAUACUUUUCUUUUUCUCUUUCUUUUAUUCUUUUUUUUUUUUGGGUCUUCUUCUCCUUCGUGCUCGCCCUUGCAUGCCUUCAACCCUCCCGAAAGGGGCCUUCUCCUUCCUCACGACAUUCCUCACCAAAAUUCGUUUCUUUACCAAGACUAAUUUGAACAACAACAAUAACCAAAGCACUUAGCAUCCUUUCUAACACCAAACCACCCCGACGCAAAUCAACGCCGGCCAUCUAACUCCGAGGGCUGCUACACCAUUUUCGGAUGCAAACGCCCACAGCUCAAGCACACAUGAUUAUUUUAUGAAAAUCGCAUGGAAUCAUGAUGAAAACAUGAGAGACAGACAGGAUCCAACAUAUAUACGAACAAGCGCAAAUUAAACCAAGUUUGAACGCGGGUUUUUUCUCGGUUCUCUUUGAGACAUUUUGUCAAACACUGGGUGUACAAUAGCUAAAAGAGGGCAUACGGCUCACUUGAGGCUCGAAUCCAAGUAAAGAUCAACACAAUAUGCACUAGGACAUCUAUGAGCUUUCAUGGAGGACCGGUGAAGCCGAAGCUCGCGAGAACAGGUCGGCCGUGAGCUCCGGCCCGAGACUUCGAAGUGAAGUGAGAAGCCUACCUGGUUCGGAUGGCGAGUUACGAGCGUACUCCAGGCGACGGCGACACGCUCUCUCCCCAAUUGUCUCUCUCCCCAGGGUUUUCCUCCUGCUUUUUCGUCCCUUCUCUCCGCUCGAUUAGCGUCGGGAGCUGCGGCGACGGGUACGAUGAGUCGACACUCGGAGGGCAGCGGCGGUGUCGCAGCUUCGGGCUGCAGGCGUCGCAGGGGGUAGCGGUGGCACAGCGAGGGCUGCCACCACGACUCCUCCUCCCCUGUGUUUCUUUCUCUCAUUUUCUUUUUUCUCUCUGUUUUUUUUGUGCUCAGUCCCUCCCUGUUUUUCCCCCUUAUGUCUGUUUUCUUCUCUUCUUUUUCUGGUGCAGAUCUCCCCUUGCUUCUCUUCACGUGCGCGCGAAUCAGCUCCGCGUGCGUCCGAAUCGGCUCCCCCCAACCCGUUGACCUGCCAGCGAGAUGAUGAUGUCUCCUCUACCUUCCCUGCCCCUGCUUUCGGCUUCGCCAUUUACCUAAGCGAACAGUUGCUUUCUGCUUCGCUGGUUCCUUGUGCAGAAAAACGGCUGAGGGAGAAGACAACGGGGUGGGCCGGGCCAGAGGGAAGAAGAGGGCUGGGCCGUGCAAGGGGAAAAGAAAAAAAAAGAAAAAAGAAAAAGGAAAGGGGAGGGUUUGAGCCGAAGCCCACGCAGGGAGAAAAUAAAAGGAAAAAGGGGCCGGGUCGGGCCAAGGCCGGAUCCGGCCUGACCUGGACCUCACAACUCUUUUUUUUUGUUUUCUUUUUUUUUUUAAGGAAAUUAAUAGCUAAAAUUUUUUGAUUUUGAUUUUGAUUCUGAUUGAUUUUUUUUUAAUACUAUUUGAAAGAUAAAAAACUAGGUGUCAACACAUGUUCGCUAUCUUUUUCCUUCACCCCUCGUCUUCACAACCCUAAAAUCACUUGGGACGCAGAAACAGUGGAAAACCACCGUCGCCACCGGUGAUGUCGAGCUUCAAUGCCUCACCGCUAGUCUCCUUCACUCCCUCGCUGUCACUGUUGAAGCUCCUAAUCAUCGAGAACCUCCACCAGCUCGGCGAUUAUCCUCACUGCUCGCCCCAAGCCCUGUCGAGGCGCUGUGGCCCCUCGAUGAUGCUCCACUUCAGGAGCUCGCCCGUCCUCGUCGUAUCAUCCGCUGAUUGUGCACUUGACAUCAUGAAGACCCACGACCUUAUAUUUCUCCGACCGACCCAGGUAUAGACUAAGCCUGUCAACCCAUGUUCAUGCAUCCUAAUUCUCUGUUGGAGUUAUAUUUUCUAGCAUUUAUGAUUGGAGAGGGUCCCGGUGGACUAGGACAUUAACCAUGCGUCAACUCGUGCUAUUUUCAAACGUUGUAUAUUUUAUUUAACAAGACGAAAGCUUCAUAUGUACUAAAUAUGUGCCAAUUCAUGUCAUUUCUUCGACUCAAGUCAACCCUAUUCAAGAGGCUUCUGCACCAUCGCAAGGACAUGUCAUUGGCGCCAUAUUAUCGAGGUAUAGUUCAUACUCCCUAUCAAUUAUGUAGAGACAGUGUCCCUAUGACUUUAAUUUUAGUUUGGCCCUAUAAAUAGUUACUCAUGAAUAGUAACUGUGAAAAAAAGUUGACUAUUUUAAAGGUAAAAAAACCAGUAAAAUUUUAUCAACGUGUGUGAUGAAAAUUUUCUUUUUUAUUCUUCUGAAAGCCAGAGGAUCGUCCAUACAUAGAAAAGAAUAGGUUCAGUUCACACAAACUGUCCACCCUGAAGAAGACUGUUGACACCUAAUUUAGAUUCAAUUUUUAGAAAAUAAAAGAUUAGAGGGAAAUUUUGAAAAGAAAUUUUGAAUUCAAAAUAAUUCAACAGUCGGAUUUUGGAGCCAUUUCUUUGUUGGAGAAGUUGAGCGAAAAUCUCCACCGGCGAGAGGUUGAGCAAAAAUCUCCACCGGCGAAACAAACUCGAAUUUUCGCUUUAUAAAUAGAGGGGUUCUUCUUCACCUUUCGGAGGAGCGGGGGCUACUUUUCGUCAAAAAUUGAAAAGUGAAAAGAGAGAAAAACUGAAGAGAAAGAGAGAAAAGCUUCCGGUUGUUUUUUUUUUGCUGAAAAGAAGAAGUGUGCAGAGAGAGACAGAGGGAGGAAACAUGAAAGUGACGUGAGGGAGAGGUGAGAGAGAGAGUCAGGUGAGAGAAAAAGUAAAAAAAGGAAGAAGAGAAAGCAAAAGAUGGACCACUGUUCAUCUUCCUCGGUGUGAGCUUCCAUUCGGUGUCCCUGCUGUCCAUUUCCUCCGCGUUGCCGAGACUGCAGCUGUCGCUCCCGAGCCCUCACAUUGUCACCGGACCGACAGCUCCUUCUUGCCGAUCACCGUCCAUGAAGCUCGCGAAGCUGAUGUCCUUCACCGCCGUCUACUGAAGCUGCAUCCCUGCUGCCCGCGGCCGCCACACACUGAAGCUACGUCCCUAGUGCCCAACGCCAUCGUCGCUGCUUGAAACCUCGCUCCCGACACCUGCUACAACGACGCCGCUGCAGCAACUGUUCAGUCUCCUCCCGUGACGCCAGCCUGCAGCGCCCAGACCUCCCGCGCUGCUCUGCCCCGACGCCGCGUCACCUUUGCUCGACCCGGUGCCCGACGAUUCCCCCUUGCCGUCGCUGAGCACCACCAGAACCGGCGCCGGCCAUCGCGACCUGCUGCUGCCCAGUGCGACGCCGGAGCUCCGAAGCCCGCCGCUCCUGCUCCGAGUUCCACUGCUGACCCGCGACGUCGGAACCGAGCUGCCACACACCCGUGAGACGCCACCUCUGCCGGACCAUCACCGUACCUCCGGGAGCUCUCCACUGGUGCUCUGCCUCAACCCGAAUCAGUCCCAGUAGCCCGACGUCCCUGCACCCGACGCUGCUGCUCCUCUGCUUGCUGCUGCACGCCCGAACAGAGUCAUCUGCCGCCUCCUCUGUUUUGCUGCAGGUCUGGUUACUGCCGAACCUCGCCGGAGCUCCAACGGACAGCCCUUGUUCCAAACGGCAACCCAUCACCGAACCACCAGCUGCUCCUCGCCAUUCCUCAGGCCAACCGUGAGUUGGACUAGGUGAUUUUCUAGAUAUUUGAUUUCAUUUUUUUUAUAUAUAUAUUCUAACUUGAUUUGUUUUGAUUUAUUUUUAUCGUUAGGAAAUUUGUCAUAUUAAGUUAUGAUAAUAAAAAAUAUUGACCCGCGAGACGUCGGGUUAGAUUUUUGAUUAUUUCGACUUUUUAUGGCAAAAUUCAUGAAUUACUUUGCACCAUUAAUUCAUAUUAAAAUGCCAUUGAUUUAUAUGGAUGGAUUUUUAUUUUGGCAUGUUAUUAUUAUUUGCUCAUCACAUAUCAUGCAUCAUAUUAUGUACUUAGGUCCAUGCACAUUUCAUAUUAAAGCAACAUACUUAGAUAUUUUUAGAUUAAGUCAAUUUUCAUUUAAUAGAACAAAAAGAUGAACAAAAAAAUGUUAUGCAUGCCAUAUGAGUUAUAGUUUUUUUUUUAAUAAAAAGAAAAUGCUAAAAGAUGAUCAUUGCACCAUUAAGUUGUUUUCUUUUUAAUAAAAAAACAUUAUGUCAUUAAAAAAAAUAAAAAAUAAAAGAUCAUUUCCUUGGUUAGUUAAUAGGUUAAUUCAUAAUUAAUCUCAUAUCAUCAUUAUUUAGCAUAGGUUGCAUAUAUGCAUUAAAAAUGAAUCAUCAUUAAAAUAAAAUAAAAAAAAGAGCAUGCAUGUAGAAAUACCAUGUCAUUUAUCCCAUAUCAUGUAGCACAUGCAUAUUUAGGAUUAUAAAAAUUAGAUUGCAUACAUAUAGUGAUAAGUUUCAGUCAUACCUUAUGAAUUGCAUCUCGCAUGUCAUUAAAAUAAAUUCAUGCAUAUUAAGUUUAAAUUAAGAUUGCAUAUAAUUAACAUUUAAAAAAGAAAAAGAAAAAUUAGGUGUCAUGUCAUUUAGAAAAUUAUGUUUAGGGCAUGCAUUUUUAUUAGCAUUUUUUUUAUUGAAUGUUAUUUUAGUGAUUGUGCACUCGCAUGACCACCAUUUGCAUGUUAGUAGCUUAAGUUAAAAUUAAUCAACAUUGCCUGCAAAAUAUUUUUGAAAUUAAAAUAAAAGGUACCGAAAGGGCGUUAGACUAAUCUAGCGUAAUCAUGUCCCCGGACUUAUUGAAUCUCUGGUUCGCAAUAGUAAAGUAUUCUCCCCUACUUUACUUGGGUUUCUAACCAGCCCUAAUUGGUUAGUGGCGGCUCCAAAUAGAAUUGCAUGUUUAAAUAGAUUAAUUUCUAUCAAGUCGCGAUUGGUAGGACUUGGGAGGGUCCGCGCCAAGUCUUCCGACUUAGUAAUCCAUUAACCUAAACUUUAGGAUUGCCCCUGAAAAUUUAGGUCGCGACAAAGACCCCACGUGACAAGAGGACUGCAAAAUGCAGAUGUCGUGUCUAUUCCGGCGGCCGAUGGGGCGGCUGGACCUUACAAACUCUGUCAUCGAUUUCACAUUGAUUUGACGGAGAUAUGAAACGAAUCUGGUCGAUCCGAUUGUGACAAAAGAAAUUAAUCAUCAAAAAAUCUCCCAAGUAAUUGAUUGGCAAUGAGCCACCCACGUUACCAUGUCCAUCAUCAAACAUCGUUUGCUUUGAAAGGCUUAGUGGUCCCAAACUUUAUCUUAUGUACAAGUGGUAAAAUUCAAAAUGAUUUAAUCCCUAUCUUAAAAUUAAAAGUCGAAUUAGAAGGGUCAAUUCUCAAUUCGUGGAAUAGCAAUUGGCCCAUUCGGUUUUAAAAUCGGACCAACCAGUCCCAUCUAGUCAAGAACCAAUGGUGAUAUCUUCUUCUUUUUUCCCAUAUUCCCCUCGAGUGUAGUUGCAUAGUCUAAACUCUUACUCUUUGGUAUUUUGGAUAUUUAAUCAAUAAAAAUCUUGAUAGAAAGACAUUAAAGAUGUGAUAAAGUAUAAUCAAGUAUCAUUAACUUGUUAAUAAAAAAAUAUGGAGCCAGUCUAGGUAGUUCGGAUGAUUUGGUUUACACCUAGAACAAGAGACCGGACCAACAGUCACCGGUUCCAAGUUUUAGGAAUGGGGAGCUGUCCAGAGCCGGUUUAGAACCGGUCGAUUUGCUCUAAUUCGGUUCAGUUUCAGUACUCACCCUUAGCCGCACAUACAUGUUUGAUUCGGAGCAACUCAGUUCCCGUGUCCAAAUUGUUGAGGCCAAUGUAUGGUGCAAGCGAAGAAGUUGGACUGGUAUUCCAUUUUACCGCACAUCCCAUUUCGAUACUAAUGCAUUCUUGAAUGGCAUCUCGUGACUUUCGUUGUGGAUGGAUAGCGUGUAAAGGUUCCUCAACGCCUGCUCCUACUCACUAUAAAAAGAACCAGACGCAGGAGGAAGCAAGUUGUAUCUGGGGUUCUGAUAGAAGAAAAUGAUGUCAAGUGCACUUCUCAGGCAAUAUCUUUAUCCCCUUUUAAUACCAUUUACCUUCUGCAUCUUGCUCCUCUUCAAAUGGUUGCUUUCACCUUCCACCACCCAAAAACACCACCACCCACCACCUUCGCCACCAAGGCUUCCCAUCCUCGGAAACCUCCACCAGAUCGGCUCGCGCCCUCACUCCUCACUUGCAAACUUGUCUCGUAAACAUGGCCCUCUCAUGCUCCUCCGACUCGGCCGUGUGCCGGUGCUUGUGGUCUCGUCAGCGGAUGCCGCCCGCGAGAUCAUGAAGACCCACGACCUCAUCUUUGCCAACCGGCCAAAGUCGAAGAUCUUCGAAAAGCUUGUGUACGACUACAAGGACGUGUCGAUGGCGCCAUACGGCGAGUACUGGAGGCAGAUGAAGAGCGUCUUCGUAUUGCAACUCCUGAGCAACAAGAGGGUCCAGUCGUUUCGCCCGGUCCGGGAGGAAGAGGUGGCCAACCUGAUCACCGACAUCGAGGGCUUGCUUUCUUCCGCAUCGCCGACAACUGUGAAUUUGGGCGAGAGGUUCGCAGCGCUAACCAACGACGUGGUGUGCAGGGUGGCUUUGGGGAGGAAGUAUGGUGGGAAGAGGUUCAAGGCGAUACUCAUGGAAUUUGUGGAGUUGUUGGGAGCUCUCAGCUUCGGGGAUUAUAUUCCUUGGCUUGCAUGGGUGGAUCGAGUGAGCGGUUUGGAUGAGCGGCUGGACAAGGUGGCUAAAGAGCUUGAUGGUUUCUUGGAUGAAGUUGUGGAAGAGCAUGUUGAGAAGAGGAUGAACUGCGAGGGCGGCGUCGACGUACAAGAAGGCAAAGAAGAUUUUGUGGAUAUCUUGCUUUCUAUCCAGAAGGAUAGCUCCGUCGGUUUUUCCAUUGAUAAAAUUACCAUCAAAGCUCUCAUCUUGGUACGCAAGUUCUUGUACGGCCCUUUUUGUUUAUUUGGCUAAUCAUUAUUCCUAGAAUCAUUCUACGGUGCGCGGAGCUAUAUGAACCAUCGAUAUGUGGCCACGAUCUCUUCUAAUGUUUCAGAUCACUCUGUCCAUUAUAGACUUUUGUCUCGGCAUGUUUUUCAAUUUGUUAGUUUAGCACACAUCUCUUGCAAAAAGAUGAUGCUUAAUUCCCUUAAAAACUCCAAACUUUUAAGUCCAAUUCUGAUUUUAUCCAUAACAUUUUUCUUAAUAAAAAUUAAUAUUUUUCUUUCUAGUUUUAAAUCUGCUCUUGCAUCCAAAAAUAGCCACCAAGUUCUUCCAAAUUAUCAAUAUCAGGAGGCUACUGUUAUUCCAUGCAAAAGUGAGGGUGUUGUGGGAGUGAAUUUGGGAGUAUAGUGAAAAUCUAUAAAAAAUUUUUUAACUAAAAUAAGUUUGCGCAGAAUUGAGAUUUGACCUAAAAUUUAGAUUUUUUUGGGGGGAGUUAAGCCCAAACGGACGGUGUAAUACCUUUUUCGGUUGUGAGCAUGCAAUGUGAGUCGAUGUCAUUUUAGCAAUUUGAACUCAAGUUUUUGGCCAAAGUUGCACUUUAAUUAGCCUAUGAAAUAACUUGAAAUCACUCUAGAUUACUACGUGAUGGUACUGAUCAUGUAGAUAGAGAGAUUAAAAUGAACAGAGUAUUGUAUAGUCUAGAUCCUAGCACUCUCCUUCUCUGAUUGAGCUUUCUCUUUUUGGUCAAGAAGCACUAUUUUGGGCACUUUGGAUUGAUGGGUCAAUUGUAAUUUCAUCUUAAUGUUAGUCCCCCAAUGUUGGCAACAAGGUUAAUCAUCAGGCAAGAAUACUUUCGAGCAGGCGUACGAUAGUCAUGCCGACUACAUUGUUAUAAUUGCAGGAUGCAUUUGCAGCGGGAACAGACACUACAUACACUGCCCUAGAGUGGGCAAUGACCGAGCUUCUGAGACAUCCAAAUGCAAUGCGACAAGCACAAGCCGAGGUCAGAAGGAUUGCCGGUCACAAGUCGAGCAUAACCGAGGAAGACCUGGACCAAAUGUGCUACUUGAAGGCCGUGAUCAAGGAAACCCUCCGAUCUCAUCCUCCGAUCCCAUUACUAAUCCCCCGAGAGUCAACCCAAGACACCAAAGUGAUGGGCUAUGACGUCGUGGCAAGGACUCGAGUGAUUGUCAAUGCUUGGGCCAUCGGGAGAGACCCUUCGCUGUGGGACUCGCCAGACGAGUUCCGUCCGGAGAGGUUCUUGAACUCAUCCAUCAAUUUCAAGGGACAUGACUUUGAGCUCAUUCCAUUCGGAGCAGGGCGGAGAGGCUGUCCGGGAAUCGCAUUCUCCAUUGCUGUGGAUGAGCUUGUUUUGGCCAAUCUCUUGCACAAGUUCGAUUGGAGAUUGCCUGAUGGCGUGGGGCAGCUGGACAUGACCGAGUCCACUGGUCUAACCAUUCACAAGAAGUUCCCUCUAAUUGCUUCUGCUGCUAUAGCCACUCCAUAAUGCUACAAAGAUUUUUACUUAUUUUUACAUCUAAUUCAGGCAAUGUUGUCCGACAGAUGUGGCGGAUGAAGUUCCUUCUUCCCAUUUUCCAAAUAUUUCUGGCAAUGCAAAGUUCUUUUGCAGUCUGAUAGUCGGGAUACACUCUUUUCAUAAAGAUAGGUUCAGUGAAGUAUCAAUUAGGCGUAUAUGCGCAUGAGGAAAACAGUUAUUGUGAGAAGAAGACGAUCCAAAAUAGGGAUGUAUUCACAGAUAUAAGCGAUGACAUCUUGAACUGAUGUACGAGCUUCGGUACUGAGGAAGGUGAAGGCUCUUUGCGAACACGAAAUGGGACCGGCCAACACGUCUGAGCAAAGGCACCAAAUUUUAUGUUAGCCCCGGAGAUUCAUCUGAGAGUCGAUUCGGUCAAUCCAAAUCUUGGAUGGAUUUUGAUUUACAAAAUUUCAAAAUUGCUCUGUUUUCUUAAUGACUGAAUAGUUAGAAUAAUCAAGGAAGAUUAGUGCAUAAUGAUCUUUAAUAAUGGAUGGUACUCAAGAUGGAUGGCUUGCAGCCUAAUUUCUUAGAAUCAUUAGUCGACAAGAAGGCGCGGAGUUGAUUACCAAAAAAAAAAAAAAAAGAAGGCGCGGACUCUUAAUUUUUAAUCUAUGGCUGAUUGAAACUUAAUUCAACCUAAUCAAUUGAUCUUAAAUAGUUUAAUUUGUUGACAAACUCUCCACAAAGGAUUCCCAAAACACUGAACAAAAAGAAAAAUAUACCCAUCAGUCAUCUCUUUCAUUUCCCCAAUCACUCAAAACACUUAAAAAGACCUAAGCACUUAAUUAUUAUUUCGCAGAUAUCUAUCAAAAAGCGACAAGCUUAAAGCAUGAUGAUCACGUGAUCAGCCCAUCCCUAGAUGAUAUGGCGCGGCUCCAAUGAUUAGUCGGAAGAGCACUGAUUUUGCGUCGCUAUUGCCAUCGCUAAUCCUAGCAGCAUUCUUUUGUUACCUUGCACAGGAUGAUAUCCCAAGAUGGCUUUCAGGACAUAAGAAAAUUCUACCACGAUGCACUACGUUGCAUGUGAAUGGCUUUUGUUGGAGAAAACUUCUUUAUUUGUUUUGAAGUUGACAAAACGUUUCCAUUAGUCUAGUCUAAAGACUUGCAGACUCUUUCGACAAAGUUUAAACACCGCCAGACCGCCAGACUCAAGAUUUAAAGUCUGCCCUCAUUGACAGAUUCUAGACCAACGAAGAAGACUUAUCAAGAAUCGAGUAUUUCUUUAAGAAUUUGAUUCGAGCGGUUGAAGAAGAUCUCAUAGCUGGAUAUAGCAUCUCGGAAUAUAUUAUUCGUCUUGAAAUUAAUUCGGGUAAUUUGGAUCUGUUGAAUGACGAAGCAUACUUUGAAGGUUCUACUUAUGGAAACCUAGAUCUUGAUUGUAUGGGCGAACAUGAUUGGUGGGCUAUUGUCAUAUUCUUUAAAUAACUCGAGAUCUCCUUAAUUGAUUCUGUCCAACAGCUAGAUUGGAAGAACUCCUUUGGAAAGUGUCAACGGUUAUGAAGGCAUGGAGGAGUAUAUAAGGAAGAUGCUCUGGUUAUUUGAAGGAGUGCGCAAUAGAUAAAUUCCAAAGUCCGAAAGCCCUUAUUCUCUGCCAAUUCAAUUGUUGAGCGUAUACUUGUACUCAAAAGAGAGUUUAUACAUUUGUGAGACCUUGAGAAGGUGUAGCAGAGUCUCUACACUGUGGAAUCAAGGACGUGAUACUGUAACGACUCUUUUGAUUCAUAGUGAAAUCCAACCGGUGGGCUGUUAGUACGGGAGAGUGGACGUAGGCUUGGAUUAAGCCGAACCACUAUAAAUUUUGUGUUCUUAUUCUCUUCUAUAAACUCAUUUACUUUGCUCGUAACUUUAUUUAAUUGUUAGAAUCUCAUUUCCAUUUUUAAAGUCUACUGUUAAAUAGACGUUUUACAUCAUUCUCUAAAAAAAUUUAUUUUCGCACCUAUUCACCCCCUCUAGGUGCUCGUACUAGCAUUUACAGCUUUGUCCAUGAUAAAUGCAUCAUAUAAUCACCAGAGAAGGACAUUUUUUUAUAAGACUGACAUUGACUAAAAUUAAAACCAAAUGACCAGCAAAUUAGAUAGAUAAUUUCAGUGACUUCCGUAUAUUAAACUGUGUGGGAAUCAAUUAAGAAGUAGAGAAUAGCAAUAUCACGAUCUGUUUCUCCCAACAUGCUUGGUCCUAGCAGUUUUGCUGAUUGUUUUGGGAAAGAGCAAGUCUAGGAAAAGAAAGAGCAACCUCCGACCGAACCCUCCCAAGUCGCCAAUCAUUGGCAAUCUCCACCAGCUUGGCAAAUCACCGCACAUAUCUCUCCGUCACCUCACGAGGAAGUACUGGCUGAUCAUGUCCUUGCAGCUUGGCAAAGUCCGAACCAUAGUUGUAUCCUCGACCGCGAUGGCCAAGAACUCCGCCAAGCACUUGUUUUAUUAUUACUCCCACACGGCUCCUUUGUUUUCACUUAAUCAAGUCGUAUAUGCCGAUUGUCAUUGUGACAUGCGACAUAUGUCAACCAAAGACUUCCUUCAAAUAACCCAACGCUAGCAUUGAUUAACAAUCGGUUGUUUGGUAUCGAUUUUAAGACAGAUUUCGCAUCUCAAAUUCCUUCUACCCGUUUUUCCUAGUUUCUGACAUUGCAAUGUUUCUAACAUAGGUUCUAUGUAGGCAUUAUGUGGUCCAACGUCCGCGAUACAAUUUCUUUGUAUAUGUAGGUCCCAAAAAAAAAAAAAAAACAGUCAGGGUCAACAUUGAGAGUCAGAGAUGCUGCAAAACUUAGCACAUGGGCACAUGCGAACAACGUUAAUAGCAUGACAGAGAACCCUUGAUAGAGAUAGAGGCGCCACAGAAUUAUAGUGAGAAGAAGACAGAUGAAAAUCCUGGAUGUGUUCAAUGUUGGAGAAAUCCUCUUGAAGUGUUUUGAAGUUGACAAAAUGUUUCCAUCAGUCUAGUCUGAAGGCUUGCAGACUCUGCUAUUUAAAGUCUGAAGACCUCCGGAUAGCUAGACUCAAGACUUAAAGUCUAUCCUCAUUGACAGUUUCUCAUCCGUUGAAGAAAGGCUAUCCAGAACUGGUUGUUUCAUUAAGGAUGUAGCCUUAUCGACUGGAGAAGAUCUCUUGGCUGGAUAUGACAUAACUGAAUCCUUUAUUUGAUCAUAAUUGAUAUGAAGAUUAAGGAUCCGAUGAUUGGCAAGGUAUACUUGGAAGGUUCUACUUAUGAAAACCGAGAUCCUGAUUGUAUGGGCGAACAUGAUUGAUGGGCUAUCGACAUGUUCCUUUAAUAGCUCGAAUAAUCUUCCUAAUUGAUUCCGUCCAAUGGGUAGAUUGAAGGAAUUCCUUUGGUAAAUGCCAAUAGGUAUGAUGGCAUGAAGGAGUAUAUAAGGAAGACAUUCUAGUUGUUUGGAGGUGUGCAUGAUAGAAGAAUUCCAAAGUCUGAAGCUCAUUGGUCUUAGACAAUUCAUUUGUUGAGCAAAAUUGUGUAAACAAAAGAGAGUCUAUAUUCAUGAGAAACCUUGAAGAAGUGUGGUAGAUCAUCUACACUGUUGAAUCAAGAAAAAGCUGUGCUGUAACUUCUUUUUUGUUCAUAGUGAAAUUCAGCCGGUGGGCUGUCAGUGCGGAAGAGUGGACGUAGGCUUGAAAUAAGCCGAACCACUAUAAAUCUCGUGUUCAAUUUUCUCUUCCUUAAUCUUUACAUUACUUUGAUCGUAUUUUCCUUUCUAUCGUUUGCCUAGAAUCGCUUCUGUAUCUCGAAAAUUUGUUUGUGCACCUAUUCACCCCUCUCUAGGUGCUUAUACUAGCUAUCUCAAUUGGUAUCAGAGCCCGUGUACUCACUUUGUUUGAAGUGUUUUACUUCAGAGUUAAAGAUCCAUGGCUAGUAUGUUGGCUCCAAGGCUGGUAGAAGGGCAAAGCAAUACCAGACCACCUUACUUUGAUGGAAAGGAUUACAACAUAUGGAAAAACAAGAUGAAAGCGUUCCUAAGAUCAAAGGAUCCUCUGGAAUGGGACGUUGUAGAAAAAGGAAUCAUUCCUAAAGCUGCAUCUGUCUCUGAAAGAGGAAAAGAUGUUGUUGAGUCUAGCGAAAUGACUCAAGAAGAGAUAAUCAAGAGACAAGCUCUUGAUGCAAAAGCAAUUUAUUUUCUUUAUUGUGCUUUAUCCCCUAUUGAAUAUAACAGAAUAUCUUCUUGUGUUACAGCUAAAGAAGUCUGGGAUAGAUUACAUAUUACCUAUGAAGGAACCGAUCGAGUGAAAGAGACCAGAAUCAACAUUCUCCUCGGUUAAUAUGAAGCCUUCAAAAUGAAACCAGGAGAAUCUACAACUAAUAUGUUUAGUCGUUUUACAGAAAUCGUGAAUGGUCUUGAAAAUCAAGGUCAACCAAUUUCUGAUCCCAUGAAAGUAAACAAGCUACUGCGUGGACUCUCCAAGGAUUGGAAUCAUAUAAAGACCUCAAUCAGAGAGACCUAAAGAAUUAUGCCACUAUCUGGUAAUGAGUUGGUUGGGACUCUUCAGUCUUAUGAAGUGGAACGAAUCAAUGAAGACGAAGACUCUAAAGGUAAGAAAUCCAUUGCAUUAAAAUCUAAUGAUGAUUCUGAUGUUACAGAUUUUGAAGACGAUAUGGAUGAUGAGGAACUUGCUCUCAUGAUUAGAAGAUUCAGAAAGCUGAACAGAAAAGGAAGAAGAUUCAAUCCAAAGAAACAAAGUUUUCAAAAGCAACAGACAAAGUCUAUUGAGAAUGAUGAAUCAAACAAAGAUAUAGUCUGCUUUGAAUGUAAGAAAAAUGGACAUAUCAGACCCAAUUGUCCUCUUCUGAAGAAAAAGAAAGGAAAAACUGAAAAUUAUCGAAAAGCUCUUAAAGCUGAAACCUGGAGUGAUACAGAGUGUAAAGAAAGUGAUGAUGAUUAUGCCAAUAUAUGUCUGAUGGCACAAUCGGAUUCAGAUUCAAAUUUCGAGACAGAUUCAGAUUCAGAAAGCGAAUUUGAGGUAAGUAAUUCAAAAUCCCUAUUAAGGUUUCAAAGUACAUUGAUGAAUUGUGUUUCAGUCUUAAGACUUCUCUUAAAAGAAUUUCCGAACUCGAGAAAGAAAAUUCUGCUCUAAAACAACAGGAAAAUAUUUUGAAAGAAAAAGUGAAAAGUUUAGACAAGAAUGUUUCUUCUCUUAAAGAAAGUGAAGAUAAUCUUUUAAAAGAAAAUGGAUUCUUGAAAAGAGAUAUCUCAAAUAUUUCCAAAAGAUUUUCUAUAGGAUCUGAGAAACUGGAAAAAAUUCUCUCUGUUCAAAGACCUUAUUUUAAUAAAUCUGGUUUGGGAAUGACUGCUGAAACCAUUCUUUUAAUUGAUUUUCCUAAAGUAAAGGAAAGAAUUAAACAAAGACCCACAAGAGAUGCUUACAAAAAUCAUUUUAAAAGGAUCUUUGUAAAACCAGUAAGUCGCAAUGCUCUCAGAUGCUCAAAGUGCAAUGGUGUAGAUCAUUUUGAAAAAGAAUGUCCUAUGAUUUGGAAACCUGUUAAAAAGGUAUGGGGAAAAACCGCAUAUCAUACUAACACAAAUGGACCCAAGAAAAUAUGGGUACCAAAGAAGGUUUGAGUUUCUUUUUUAAAUGCAGGUCACUAUCAAGAAAAAGGUAAAAUGGUAUCUGGAUAGUGAAUGCUCAAGACACAUGACAGAAGACUCAAAUUACUUCAUAAAGCUUGUUCAAGUAAAUGGUGGAAAAGUCUCUUUUGGAGGAAACAGCAAAGGAAAAAUUGUGAGAUUUGGAACCGUAAAGAUUGGAAAUCUCACAAUCAGCAAUGUUUCCUUAGUGGAAGGGCUUAAUUACAAUUUGCUUAGUAUUAGUCAGCUAUGUGAUACUGGUUUCAAAAUCAACUUUCAAAAGGGAAUAUGUUUAGGAAUUAGUAAAGAUUCUACUCAGUCAUUCAUGGGUCGAAGACAUGGAAAUAUCUACCUCUUGGAUGUAAAACCAGAUGAAUCACAAUGUCUAAUCUCAAUCCAAGACGAAGCAAACUUAUGGCACAGAAAGCUUGGGCACGUCAAUAUGAAGCAAAUAGCCAAAAUCUUAGCAAAGAAGCUUGUUUGUGGUCUACCUAAGUUAUCAUACCAAAAGUCUGAUCUAUGUACACCAUGUAUAUUGGGAAAACAGGUAAGAAAUUCUUUUAAACCAAUAAAUCAAGUUUCCACUAACCAUGUACUGCAGCUUCUGCAUAUGGAUCUCUUUGGACCAACCAGAACACAAAGCAUUGUAGGUAAGAAAUACUACCUAGUAAUUGUGGAUGAUUACUCACGAUUUACUUGGGUAUAUUUCUUGACAAGUAAGUCUGAAACUUUCUCUUACUUUAAAAAAUUUGCUAAAAAGGUUCAAAAUGAAAAAGGUUAUGUUAUCUCGAGUAUAAGAACAGAUCAUGGAGUGAGUUUGAAAAUCAUGAUUUUACAAAAUUCUAUGAUGAAUUUGGUCUUAACCCAAGAACCCGAAUCAAGGGACGAGCCAGCGCUGAGCCAGGACGGACAAAUUGGGGACACAAACCCCGGUAAAAUCCUGGCAUUUCCAUGACCGGAGGAACUGGUAUCAAACCCAAGAAAUGGCGGCGGAUCAAGAAGCACGCCCCGCAUGCAAGACUCGAGACAAGCGUCAAAACCAUAUACAUACCUGCACGGUCCGCACAAGGCAGUAGAGGAGCAGCCACGAUGGAGAGCUGGAACUGAGAAGGCGACUGAGGCGGACAGAGAGAUUCAAGAAAUUGGGAGGGGAAGCUCCUGGUUUUUGUGGUUGGGCCUUGAGAAAGUGAUUUGGAGAUGGGCCUACUUACUAGGGUGAAGAGAAGAGGUGGGCCAACCCGAUACAAGAUCGAAAACGGUUCGACCGAGUUGGUGAAACCAAUCGUUGAACCCGGAAGGUCUCAAAUUCAAAUCUUGCUUGACGAGGGUUCUUGGGAUUUAAGUCGGCCAGGAAGAAAUGUUGGGCAUCUAACUUGAUCCAUGGCAUGGACAUAGCAUUCCUUCUUAUCGGCCCCGACAUGUUGACUUAAUCUAGUGUGUCGAAACUGGCUCUAAGUACCAUUGAAAACAGUUCGAUUGAGUUGGUAAAAUCAAUGGGUGAACCCCAAAAGGUCUUGAAGUCAAAUCUAGCUCGAUGAAGAUUCUUGGGAUUUAAGUCGGCCAAGAAGAAAUGCCAAUUGUCUACCUUGAUCCGUGGCUUGGCGUGGCUUGGAUAUAUUAUUCUUUUUUAUUGAACCAGCUCUGAAUACCACUUAAUUAAUUCAUUAUGGGAACAAAUAUACACAAUCUCAAGGAAAGCGGCAUAGUUUGAACUUCGAAUCCAGAUCAUCUACAAGUAUACACAAUCUCAAAGAAAAUGUGCUAGAAGUGGGUUGAGACACAGAAUUAUUGAACUAGCCUUUGAUUUCAGAAUAACAUCAUGAGUUCGGUUGAUUCGCUCUGCCUUUUAUCCUACAAAAUCCUAUUUUGGCAUGCAAUUAGUGUGGAAAGAUUACAUUUAAAGUUUGAGCCCGUCGACAAAAUCUAAACUAAAUUUAAGCGUGCAAAAACUCGAAUCGAACCGGAGCACUCGUAGUGUUCAAAGUCUGAUUCAAAGACAUCCUCAUUCAAAUGGAAGACUUCCCAUUUCGUAUAGUUCAGAGUCUAUGCGCAGUGGCCACCCCAAUUUGCAAGAGAAGUGCAACUUGGACUCGAGCCGGACGUAGGAUUUCCCAUUUCGAUUGUUGAGGGUGUGCUACAAACUCGCCUCCACAAGAAUCUCUAGAUGUCAACAAGCAAAAUGCUGAAAUUCUAUUCUUCACUAGCCCACCAGAGCAGAUGAUUAGAAAUCGCCCUCCACGCAUGCGACUCACAAUUUACCAUUUUACCAUUUACCAUUUGCCAUUUUACCGCAUCGACUCGUUUCAUGGCAACAUCUUCACCAAACCUCCGGCGGAACACGAUAUUCAUUUCAUACUGAGUUUAUGUCCCCAAAAAGAUGAAGGUAACCGAGGGACAAAUCGCCCACUAGAAGAUCGUUGAAAUAGACAACAGGCCCAAAGCAUAAGACGGCACAACUGCUUUUAUUCGUUUGUCUAUCCACAAGGACCAGCCAAUGUCCCGGAUAAAGAUCCGAAACCACAUAACUAUAAGCAUAACAACCCAGUGCCAUAUAAGCCAAGUCAGGGCAAAUUGAUAAUUCAAGCUGCGAAGCCACAUAUUACAGACCAAGGCAUAUCCUCGAGUGUUUAUAUCUCGUGAAAGCCCAACAGGGGUACACACAUUAUGCCGCGGCAUUGACAGCAUGAUCAUUGCAUUCCUUCUGCACAAAAGCUUCAACGUACUGUUUCCUGCAAGGAAGAAUUGAUUCUCUAAGACUCGGGAGCAACAUGGUGUAUGUGAAACAUCAGAGAAACUGGAGAUGUAAGCAACUAGAAGGAAAGGACGGAUCAGUACCUCGCUGGUAAAUGGUCAUGGGGACGAUUGAAUGGGGUCCAAACUGGAUCACCAACAAACAGUCGCACAGCCUAUAUAAAAGAUCACUUGGCAGAGAGUGAACAAAAAUUCUUUCUGCUGAUUAGAAAAUUCAUUCUUCCACUGACUAUAAAACAGCUGCAACAAGCUUAGAAGGCCCAAAUCUAGUUCUCUCGUUCUCUUCAUGUGUGUCUGUGUGUGUGUUUUGUGUCCUCCAUGUGUGCUGGAUCAAAGAAGUGAAGUAUGCAUAUAUUGUAAAUACCUUGAUGUAAUUAUUCGAAUCGAGGGUAAAGCGAUG